rnacentral:lncRNA from 1 species
AUAUGCUUAUCUAGGAGCUAUAGCUGUCACACUGCAGUAGUUGGAUGAAGAUGCUGAAGAGUCUGCUUCGUGCACAUUCCUCUCAAUGAAGAAUCCAGGUUGCUUAGGUUGAGGCAGAGGAAGUUCACUGGUUAGCAUUAGCACCACUGUUGCCAUGGUUGGCCUGUCUGCUGGAUAUUGUUGCACACAUAAUAACCCUAUAUGAAUAGCUCGAAACACUUCGUAUUGAUGUUCAGGGCUUAAAUCUUCAAUAACCUCAUCUACUAGGUCCAACACAUUUCCGUCUAUAUAGGUUCUCCAUGCCUAAAACAUUUGAAAAUUUAGCGAUGAGUUCAAUUAGUAAAACAUAAGUAAUGAUAAUAUAACUACUUUAUAGGAUGGUCUAGAAACUUACAUGUCCGAGAAGGUUAAGAUUGUGAUCUAGAUGAGUAAAAUUUUUGUUUCUUUUUCCAUUCACCGUCUCUAAAAGGAGUACUCCAAAGCUAUAAACAUCAGAUUUCACCGAAAAUAUGCCAUCCGUUGCAUACUCAGGAGACAUGUAACCACUGCAAGAACAUCUGAUGUAUCACAUUUUUGCUAAUAGAAACAUUAUUUCUUACAAUGCAAGAUAUUCUUACUAUGUUCCAACUACUCUAGUUGUAUUGGCUCCUGUUUCCGUCUCUCCGCAGAUCCUUGCUGUGCCAAAAUCUGAAAUUUUUGGGUUCAUCUCAAGAUCAAGCAAAACAUUACUGGCUUUAAGAUCCCUGUGUAUGAUCCGCAAUCUAGAAUCCUGAUGAAGAUAGAGAAGUCCCCUGGCGAUGCCAUUAAUGAUGUUAUACCGAGUAGGCCAGUCAAGCGUGUAUCUUUUCGUCUUGUCUAAUCAAAAGGUCAUUAAAGUUAAUCCCGUGAUGUGAGUGAAAAAUUUGCUAGUAGACGUAGAAUAUAUGAUUAAAAAAUGAAUGCAUGAUCAUUGCUACAGAGAAAACGUAUACCAAAUAUGAACGAGUCCAGGCCUUUAUUGGGCAUGUAUUCGUACACCAACAUUCUUUCUCCCUCCUGCACAGAGCAGCCGAGAAGCUUCACAAGGUUUCGGUGCUGAAGUUGAGCAAUGCAGGAAACUUCAUUUUUAAACUCUUUCAAUCCUUGCCUCGAAUCCUUCGAAAGCCUCUUUACAGCUAUUUCUUUUCCAUCAUCGAGCAUACCCUAAAACAAAUCACUGAUAAACUUUCAUCUUCUCUAAUGGGAUAAAAUGACAUUUUCUUUCGUCAAUUACUCUAAUGAAGAAGCAAGACCAUGUACCAAGAGCUACACAUGCUUCAACUCGUGAUGUUUCUGAUUUCGUAAACAAUUAUUUUAUUUGUUGGGUUAUGCUUAGGGGUGGCAAUCGUUUCGUUUUGUAUAAUUUUUUUCGUGUACACGAAGGUGAAACCUGUAUCCGCCCGUUAUUAAUUUCGUGUACCUAAUUUGAAAUCCGUAUCCGAUCCGAAACGUUUCGUGUAUAUUUCGUUUACUUUUCCAGUAUAUUAUAUAUAAAAAUAUUAAUAUAUUUUUUAAUCAAAAAAAUAGAUUUAAUAUAUAUUUUCCUUUAUAAUUUUAUUAAAUGUGAAUGAUAUAUUUAUACAUGUAUACAAUUCUAUGUAAAUUGUUAAUGUGUCUACAAUAUAUAUCCACACAUACAUAUAAAUAUAUACUUUUUACACAAUUAUAUAUCUGAUAUAUCAUAACAUAUAUAUAAUAAAUAUUAUGUACAAAUAUUUCGUGUACUUUCGUGUACCCCAAUUAAAAACCCAUAUCCGAUACGAAAUCUAUAGUGUACUUUCGUGUUUCGUGUAUCGAAAAUCAAAACCAAUAUCAUUUUUUUCGUGUCGUUUCAUUUCGUGUUAACGUGUUACGUGUCAAAUUGUCAGGCCUAGUUCUACUAUACAAUUUAGUUGACUUUUAACCUUGAUCAGAUGCUGGCAUGACAAUUACCUUAUAGACAGGCCCAAAGCCACCUUCUCCAAGCAUGGAGUAUUUUGAGAAGCCAUUGGUUGCAAUAUCUAAGGUUGUGAUGUCAAACAAUGGCAACUCUAAAUCCUCGGCACCCAUCUCAUUGCUCCCACAGUUUUCAAAAUACGGGUCUGUUAUCCCUGCAUUUUCCAUGUGCAAACUCAUACAGUAAAGUAAAAGCAUAAACUUGAAAAUUCGAAAGAAGACAUUGAAUUGUUGUAAUACCUUCUGUGUGCUUCUUCUUCUUCUUUUUGUUCCUGAUUACCCACAGGCAUACACACAUCAUUGUUACCGUCAUUAGAAUAGGUAUCCAUACGAACCUUACUUUGGAUCUCCCUUUUUUGCCUUCAUAAUUAAACAGGAAGUGAAUCAAUUUACUAUAUUCCACAAAACAGGGAAAGACAUAUAUGUAACAAGUAGUUCUGAAACCGGUAGACGGUAUUAAAUGAAAACAUUCAGAGUACCUAAUUCAGAUGCAGCCAUUCUUAUGUAAAGAACUUGACCGUUCUCUUUCUCAUCUCUAAUAUCAAUAAGCUCAUUAAACCACAACAAGCAUCCGCUUCCACUGCCUCGAACAUCUGUAUUUGCAUAAGCUGUGCAUGAGCAAUUGCUCAAGCAUUCUUUCUGGCACUCGUCAAGGUUCAUAUUCUUAUCAAACCAGGAACGCUGAGUAUCUGGUAAUUUCAAGCCUGAAUGUUUCACAAAUCCCUCUCCAUUCCCACAACUCAGUUUUUCUUUCCUUGCACAGCCUCUGGACCAGUCUGUAGCAUCCCAUCCUAUUUUAUCUUUUGGCUGAAAACCACGGAAACACAUGCACUUAGGAGAAUUGUCAAUGUUACAGCUCCCAUAAGCUCCACAUACCCUAUAAUAAUCACAAUCAUCAAUUGGUCCAGCAAGAAAACGCUGCCAAAUUCGAGAUUUUUCAAUCCAUACCCAUCUUUGUAUAUAACCUAAUGGAUUCAACACCCUCCUUGUAUAAACUGAACUAUUAACAGCUUCGUAAACAUAAUNNNNNNNNNNNNNNNNNNNNNNNNNNNNNNNNNNNNNNNNNNNNNNNNNNNNNNNNNNNNNNNNNNNNNNNNNNNNNNNNNNNNNNNNNNNNNNNNNNNNNNNNNNNNNNNNNNNNNNNNNNNNNNNNNNNNNNNNNNNNNNNNNNNNNNNNNNNNNNNNNNNNNNNNNNNNNNNNNNNNNNNNNNNNNNNNNNNNNNNNNNNNNNNNNNNNNNNNNNNNNNNNNNNNNNNNNNNNNNNNNNNNNNNNNNNNNNNNNNNNNNNNNNNNNNNNNNNNNNNNNNNNNNNNNNNNNNNNNNNNNNNNNNNNNNNNNNNNNNNNNNNNNNNNNNNNNNNNNNNNNNNNNNNNNNNNNNNNNNNNNNNNNNNNNNNNNNNNNNNNNNNNNNNNNNNNNNNNNNNNNNNNNNNNNNNNNNNNNNNNNNNNNNNNNNNNNNNNNNNNNNNNNNNNNNNNNNNNNNNNNNNNNNNNNNNNNNNNNNNNNNNNNNNNNNNNNNNNNNNNNNNNNNNNNNNNNNNNNNNNNNNNNNNNNNNNNNNNNNNNNNNNNNNNNNNNNNNNNNNNNNNNNNNNNNNNNNNNNNNNNNNNNNNNNNNNNNNNNNNNNNNNNNNNNNNNNNNNNNNNNNNNNNNNNNNNNNNNNNNNNNNNNNNNNNNNNNNNNNNNNNNNNNNNNNNNNNNNNNNNNNNNNNNNNNNNNNNNNNNNNNNNNNNNNNNNNNNNNNNNNNNNNNNNNNNNNNNNNNNNNNNNNNNNNNNNNNNNNNNNNNNNNNNNNNNNNNNNNNNNNNNNNNNNNNNNNNNNNNNNNNNNNNNNNNNNNNNNNNNNNNNNNNNNNNNNNNNNNNNNNNNNNNNNNNNNNNNNNNNNNNNNNNNNNNNNNNNNNNNNNNNNNNNNNNNNNNNNNNNNNNNNNNNNNNNNNNNNNNNNNNNNNNNNNNNNNNNNNNNNNNNNNNNNNNNNNNNNNNNNNNNNNNNNNNNNNNNNNNNNNNNNNNNNNNNNNNNNNNNNCAAAAAAGGAAAUGUGACAACUAAAAUGGGACGGAGGGAGUAUUUGACAAAAUUAAUGGAUUUUAAACAUUAUCGAAUAACCUCAAAUUUCACGAAUGAAAAAAAAUCUUUUAAAAUUUCAAUCAAAUACACCUCUUAUUAAUUUAUUCAAGAUGAAAAAGUAUUAGCCAGAAAUUGACUCAUAUAUUAUUUUAACCAAAAGAGACGUUUGGAUGGUAGGCGGGACGAGUGAGGUAUGGGAAUGAGUAUUCUUAUCCAUCAAGUGGUAAUGAGAAUCCGGUCGAUACAACAAAAAUGCUAAUUCAAACUAAUUCAAACCCCAACACAUGGUCAGACUUUUUUCUGGCCGAUGUCCAAAAACUAAAUUCGACCACACAUUCAAAAACUAACAAAAGAAAAGUGAUAAUGGUUUCUACUUUGUAUUAGGUUGGCCCUCAAUAACAAUGGCAUUGAUGUGAAUGAGUCAUCUUUACUAGUCCCUACCAACUGGGUCUAUUCAAAAGACUUUAAACAUACAUGAAUUCAGGAGUUUAUGUCCAAAUACCAAUAUACAGUUGUAGCUUUGUAAUCACGCACGUUUCCGAACUAUAUUACCUUCAGCCAUCAACAGUUUGUAAUACUUAACAAACUCAAGACAAAGACAAAACAACUCUCUGUCGUUUUAUGUGUUCCAACUUCCAAACCUUUGUGUCUCAGUCUGCUGACUAUUGGAUAUCUCUUAACUCCUUCCAAUUCAUCACUUACAAAAUCAUGGCGGCUGGGGGUAAACUGGUGCAAUUAUAAACUAUCUGCGAUUGCGUCCCGAGAAGCCAACUGCUUCUGUGAGCCUAGAUCAUGAUGCUAGAUCCCUGCAUUAUAGGCUCAAGUCCAGCUUCAAAUUACGAAAGUAAUAAUGACAUUCUUCCUACUGCAUCCAUCCAUCAAUUAAGCAACACGCUGAAAUAAUCAACUACAGGAUUAUACAGAAUGAUGGCUUAACCGAAGAAUAAUACAACUUUUUCUCUUUGAAAUGACCAAAUGCAGCUUUCAGUAACAUCAUUAUACUCUUAGAAAUUUUCAUUCUGCUCACUAACCGUUACAUUCCAUUAAAAAUUUGAUGGAAUGUUGAUUAAGCUUGGUGGCCUGGCUUGAAUAAAUCCAACGUAACAUGUACAGUCACUUGAAAUAGCGCUUUGAUCACUCAACUGGCUCGAAACUUAUAAUUUGAUCACUAAACUGAUGAAAAAAAACUGAAAAGAGACCAGACAAAAAGCUCUCCUACAACAACAUCAAGUGCUCUCCUACAACACGUCUUUACAACAAGAUACACACAUUAUCAUCAAUGAUUUCACUCACAAAUACUUCACUGCUUCGAAUACUCUAUCCAUGUAAGAUAACAAAACAAGCUUAAGGGUGCUUUUUUACUUUUCUCAAUAACUCGGUGAUUGGCUAGCUCUUUACUGCUAUUUCCUUUUCGUCAUAAAAUAAUUCUAGAAAAAUGAGCAUACACAGAAUCUUUAAUAUUGGUUAUAUUAAACCAGAGCAAUGCAUAUCUUGUUGAUCCUUUAGUCCAUCAACAUAUUAAUCUGGCUUGCUGGCAUCCUUUAGUCCAACAACAUUGUUCUUAAAAUUACUAGGAAGUCUCUCCAUAUAUACGAUAUACGAGGUUAAUAGUUUAUCUGUUACGCAAGGGAGAGAUUAGUACAUACUCCCUCCGUCCCCCUCAAUUGUUUACAUUGGAGGGGGACACGGAGACCAAGACAAUGUAUGAAAAAUGAGUAAAGUUGGAUGAAAAGUGGGUAAAGUGGUGGGACCUAUCAAUAUUUAAUAAUUGAUUUGAGAUAGUGGAGGAAAGUAGUGGGUGUAAUAGUAGUUUUUAUUGUUAAAUAUGAGAUAGUGGGGGUAGAUAGUGGGUGUAAUGAUGGGAAAAACUUACUAUUUAUAGUAACGUAAAGAAAUGAGAGGGACAUCCCAAAAUAGUAACUGUAAAGAAAUGAGAGGGACAGAGGGAGUAUAUGUUUAUAUCCUGAACAGCUUUGAUACUCUUAACGAGGAAAGUAUCAUGCUCUCUUGCAUGAUCAAAUUGUAAGUGAAUCAGAGGAAAUGCGUUUAGAUGAAGUUUAGAUGCAUCACAAUUAUUACCUUAUAAACAGCCCCGAAGCCACCUUCUCCGAGCUUAGAGUCUGUAGAGAAGCCAUUGGUUGCACUAGCUAAGGUUGAGAAGUCAAACAAUGGCAACUCAGCAUCCUUGUCACCAUUCCCAAAGUCGCCAUCGUCAUCAAGAUACAACAGCCUUUUUAUCCUUGCAAUUUUCACUCGCAAAGGAAUAAUACAAUUAAUACUAAGCAAAAUAUUCUGAAAGAAAACCUUGAAUCAAUUAAAUUAUAUAUUACCAUCUGGAUGUUUCUUUUUCUUCCUGAUUACCCACAGACAAGCUCCAAGCAUCGUUGUUACAGUAAGCAGAAUAGGGAUGAUCAUGAAUCUUAUUUUAGACCUCCCUUUUUUAGCUUCAAGUUGAGACAGUAAGUAAUAUCAAUUCACUAAUUACCAAGAAAUAAGGGGGGAGCAAUAUGAGCAAUCAGUGGUGCUAAGUUGUUAGUAAAUAAAAGAAAUUUAGUAUACCUAAUUCAGAUGCAGCCAUUCUUAUGUAAAGAUCUUGACCAUUUUCUCCCUGCUCUCUAAUAUCAAUAAGCUUAUCAAGCCAUAACAAGCAUCCGCUUCCACUGCCUCUGAUAUCUGUAUUUGCAUAAGCUGUACACGAGCAAUUCUUCAAGCACAGCCUCUUACACUCGUCAAGACUCAUGUUCCUGUCAAACCAGGAACUCUGAGUAUCUGGUAGUAUCAACCCUGACUGCUUCACGAAUCCCUCUCCAUCCGCACAAGUCAAUUCAACUUUCCUUGCACAACCACUAGACCAAUCUGCAACAUCCCAUUCUUUUUGACUUUUUGGCUCAAAUCCGUCUAAGCACUCACACUUAGGAGAUCUGUUAAUGUUACAACUACCAUAAGGUCCACAUAACUUAUAACGAUCACAAUCAUCUAUCGGACCACUAAGAUAAAGUCGCCAAAUUUGUGAUUUUUCAAUCCAUACCCAUCUUUGAACAGAACCAGAUGGACUCAAUACUAUCCUUGUAGAAACUGAAUUAUCAAGAAGUUUGUAAUAAUAAUACAACUCCUUAUCAUUGGAGACGAAAUAAAACUCAUAAAUUGGGUUAGACUUGAAGUUGGGUGCAGCAGAAAAACGAACACCAUUCCAAGGCCCAGCUCGAGAAUGUAUAGCAGAGCCUUUCCUCGUCAAUAACUGAGGAAAUCCAUUGGGAUCAAUACGAUUAGUAUAUUCACCUGGAGAUGGAUCAUCAUCAGUUUUCCAAGAACUGAGAUACCUUUCAAGCCCAGUUUCCAAAUUCCACCCGAGUUUACAACCUGGUAGAAAUGUAUUUCCAGGUAUAUCAAAACUUUGCCACAGAUAAUUUGCAGGGUCACUGUCCUUUACAUCUCUAAUAACAAGAUUCCCAGAAUCCAACAGCUGCGCGACAGGACUAUUGACAGGCGUGGACGAGUUUGAUGACCAAACUACGUUAUCAAAACUAUCAAGAAUGACAAGGAUUCCAUUGGUGUUGAGUUUCAAGAGACCAGAUGUAGUAUUGAGAGGAGUUUCUCUGUUGGCAAUCCAUACAAUUGUCUUGAGGGGUAUCUUCUUGUACCAUAUACCCACGUAUCGAUUUGUGGAGUUGCCAAGACCAAUGAAGCCGAGCUCGAAUUGACCACCGGCUGAAACUAUUGUGUUUCCAUCUCUAACAGAUUGGUUGGGCCUUAUAAUAUCUUCCGUUGCUAUAGAGUUGAGUGAAAGAGAGAACACAAAAAUGCAGAAUAUCAAAGUGACAGAAGCACUUGUUGUACUGGUGCGUUCCAUUAACUUGAGGACGUAUUGAAGGAUUGGUUUCUUCUUUAAACUAACAGUGUUGGAGUCCAUUUUAAUUAAAGAACUCUAAUGCUGUAGUGUUGAACAUACAAUUUCAACUCAAAAGCGCAAUAUACCAACUACAACGACUCUAUUGGAUCCAAGCCUAUAUAUAUAAUUCAAACUUGAUGGCUGCACUAUUGUGUAAUUUCUCAGGAUUUUCUUCUUCGAAUUUUUCUUGACUCGGUUGUGGCCCAUAAUUGAGACAAGUGCAGGACCUGGCUCCAUAAGUCCUUAAUGCAGAGGUGUCAUAACAUUACUUGGUAUGACAUGACAUUCAUAUUUUUCUUGAUUCUAAUUCUUUUUUAUAGAAAUGUUAAUUAAAAUUUUCUAAUUUUUUCCGUAGAACAGAGAUGACAAAACAUAAUAUGACGUUUAUAUUUUCCUUAACUCUAAAUCUGUUUUGAUAAAAAUGUUAACUAAGUUGCUAAUUUUUGAUAAGAGAAUAGUUAGACUAUAUUAUUAUUAUUAUUAUUUUUUGUUGACAAAGAGUUAGACUAUAUUAUUAAAAAAUAUAAUUAUUGGCAAAAGAAUUGAAAUAUAACAAAUAAUAAUUCCUAAAAGAUAUAAAAUGAAAUGAAUAAUAAUAACAUAUAAUUGAUGAGAUUCAGGAGACUAACAGUUUGUGAAUUAGUCAGUGUAUGAAUAACAAGGAGAGAAUGUAUUUACACUAAAGAAGAACAAUGAGAAAUGAAAGAGAGUGUUCACAAUGACCAUUACUGAACUACUUGAUGUCUUGAUUCUAUAUAUACACACAUGUUUACUAACUAACAGCUGUCAAUCUUAACAAACUAUUCUUCUAGAAGCUUCUUAUCACAUCUGAAAGUUGAUGCUUGAUGCUGACACAUGUAUGCUGAGUUGGAACGUGUUGCUGCUAUAGCUCUUUAUCAGAGACCAGUUUUACUAUAGAGAGGUGUUUCUCUAUUGGCAAUCCAGUAAUGUCUACUUCGGCAACGGAGUUUAGUAGAAGGCAGAAUAAGAUUAUGGACAAUAACAAUGUCAAUGAAGCAGUUGCGGAACUUUGGCCUUCCAUUAACUUUGACAUGUUUCCUGUGUUUGGGUAAGUUGAAUGAGCCGAAAAGGAAGAGAGUUUUCAAUGGUACAACUGUCAGAUAAUUUUGUAGGAGAGAUUUGAUCGAAAGCAUUACGUCAAAACACAUUAAGGUUCCAUACACGGCUAAUUAUUACUAGUACAUUACAAAUAUUGUGAACUAAUGUACUAUUAAUGCACUGGAAACAAUAUAGAUGACUAGCCAUGCCUAGGGGCGUGGACAAGAAAUUUAUGGGGUAUAUUCAAUUCGCAAUUUGGAUUUUAAGGGAUUACUAAUAAAUCUAGUUUGGUAUUCACUAAAUCCUUCCAUUCAGAUGAACGAGAAUUAGACUUGUGUUACUAAAUAAAAAGAACAUUAGCCUGAACUGGUCUUAUGCCAUCAACAAUGGAAUCAUCAAGCUCUGUUGUUUGAUAAGAUCUAAAACAGAAUCGAAGUGUAUGCUAAAAUCUAACAAUGAACUUUGGGAUGGAAAUUGAUAACAGUGCUUAGGUUCGAGAGAGAAAUCAGUUGCUUCAGUCAAGAAUUUGGUGAUACAAUCUAUUAUCACCAGAAUCUCAUGAAGAUCACUUGGAAUAAGAAAUAGAUCUAUUUACUGUAUAAAUAUAAUAAUGCUAUAUUAGCACAUUGUUUUUUUUUCCUUUCCCUUUGGACAUUGAAAUUUGAAAUAUUAAAAGCUGCAAUCAUAAUUUAUAUUUUUGAAUACAAUAAAAACGAAAAAUAAUAUGCUUAUCUAGGAGCUAUAGCUGUCACACUGCAGUAGUUGGAUGAAGAUGCUGAAGAGUCUGCUUCGUGCACAUUCCUCUCAAUGAAGAAUCCAGGUUGCUUAGGUUGAGGCAGAGGAAGUUCACUGGUUAGCAUUAGCACCACUGUUGCCAUGGUUGGCCUGUCUGCUGGAUAUUGUUGCACACAUAAUAACCCUAUAUGAAUAGCUCGAAACACUUCGUAUUGAUGUUCAGGGCUUAAAUCUUCAAUAACCUCAUCUACUAGGUCCAACACAUUUCCGUCUAUAUAGGUUCUCCAUGCCUAAAACAUUUGAAAAUUUAGCGAUGAGUUCAAUUAGUAAAACAUAAGUAAUGAUAAUAUAACUACUUUAUAGGAUGGUCUAGAAACUUACAUGUCCGAGAAGGUUAAGAUUGUGAUCUAGAUGAGUAAAAUUUUUGUUUCUUUUUCCAUUCACCGUCUCUAAAAGGAGUACUCCAAAGCUAUAAACAUCAGAUUUCACCGAAAAUAUGCCAUCCGUUGCAUACUCAGGAGACAUGUAACCACUGCAAGAACAUCUGAUGUAUCACAUUUUUGCUAAUAGAAACAUUAUUUCUUACAAUGCAAGAUAUUCUUACUAUGUUCCAACUACUCUAGUUGUAUUGGCUCCUGUUUCCGUCUCUCCGCAGAUCCUUGCUGUGCCAAAAUCUGAAAUUUUUGGGUUCAUCUCAAGAUCAAGCAAAACAUUACUGGCUUUAAGAUCCCUGUGUAUGAUCCGCAAUCUAGAAUCCUGAUGAAGAUAGAGAAGUCCCCUGGCGAUGCCAUUAAUGAUGUUAUACCGAGUAGGCCAGUCAAGCGUGUAUCUUUUCGUCUUGUCUAAUCAAAAGGUCAUUAAAGUUAAUCCCGUGAUGUGAGUGAAAAAUUUGCUAGUAGACGUAGAAUAUAUGAUUAAAAAAUGAAUGCAUGAUCAUUGCUACAGAGAAAACGUAUACCAAAUAUGAACGAGUCCAGGCCUUUAUUGGGCAUGUAUUCGUACACCAACAUUCUUUCUCCCUCCUGCACAGAGCAGCCGAGAAGCUUCACAAGGUUUCGGUGCUGAAGUUGAGCAAUGCAGGAAACUUCAUUUUUAAACUCUUUCAAUCCUUGCCUCGAAUCCUUCGAAAGCCUCUUUACAGCUAUUUCUUUUCCAUCAUCGAGCAUACCCUAAAACAAAUCACUGAUAAACUUUCAUCUUCUCUAAUGGGAUAAAAUGACAUUUUCUUUCGUCAAUUACUCUAAUGAAGAAGCAAGACCAUGUACCAAGAGCUACACAUGCUUCAACUCGUGAUGUUUCUGAUUUCGUAAACAAUUAUUUUAUUUGUUGGGUUAUGCUUAGGGGUGGCAAUCGUUUCGUUUUGUAUAAUUUUUUUCGUGUACACGAAGGUGAAACCUGUAUCCGCCCGUUAUUAAUUUCGUGUACCUAAUUUGAAAUCCGUAUCCGAUCCGAAACGUUUCGUGUAUAUUUCGUUUACUUUUCCAGUAUAUUAUAUAUAAAAAUAUUAAUAUAUUUUUUAAUCAAAAAAAUAGAUUUAAUAUAUAUUUUCCUUUAUAAUUUUAUUAAAUGUGAAUGAUAUAUUUAUACAUGUAUACAAUUCUAUGUAAAUUGUUAAUGUGUCUACAAUAUAUAUCCACACAUACAUAUAAAUAUAUACUUUUUACACAAUUAUAUAUCUGAUAUAUCAUAACAUAUAUAUAAUAAAUAUUAUGUACAAAUAUUUCGUGUACUUUCGUGUACCCCAAUUAAAAACCCAUAUCCGAUACGAAAUCUAUAGUGUACUUUCGUGUUUCGUGUAUCGAAAAUCAAAACCAAUAUCAUUUUUUUCGUGUCGUUUCAUUUCGUGUUAACGUGUUACGUGUCAAAUUGUCAGGCCUAGUUCUACUAUACAAUUUAGUUGACUUUUAACCUUGAUCAGAUGCUGGCAUGACAAUUACCUUAUAGACAGGCCCAAAGCCACCUUCUCCAAGCAUGGAGUAUUUUGAGAAGCCAUUGGUUGCAAUAUCUAAGGUUGUGAUGUCAAACAAUGGCAACUCUAAAUCCUCGGCACCCAUCUCAUUGCUCCCACAGUUUUCAAAAUACGGGUCUGUUAUCCCUGCAUUUUCCAUGUGCAAACUCAUACAGUAAAGUAAAAGCAUAAACUUGAAAAUUCGAAAGAAGACAUUGAAUUGUUGUAAUACCUUCUGUGUGCUUCUUCUUCUUCUUUUUGUUCCUGAUUACCCACAGGCAUACACACAUCAUUGUUACCGUCAUUAGAAUAGGUAUCCAUACGAACCUUACUUUGGAUCUCCCUUUUUUGCCUUCAUAAUUAAACAGGAAGUGAAUCAAUUUACUAUAUUCCACAAAACAGGGAAAGACAUAUAUGUAACAAGUAGUUCUGAAACCGGUAGACGGUAUUAAAUGAAAACAUUCAGAGUACCUAAUUCAGAUGCAGCCAUUCUUAUGUAAAGAACUUGACCGUUCUCUUUCUCAUCUCUAAUAUCAAUAAGCUCAUUAAACCACAACAAGCAUCCGCUUCCACUGCCUCGAACAUCUGUAUUUGCAUAAGCUGUGCAUGAGCAAUUGCUCAAGCAUUCUUUCUGGCACUCGUCAAGGUUCAUAUUCUUAUCAAACCAGGAACGCUGAGUAUCUGGUAAUUUCAAGCCUGAAUGUUUCACAAAUCCCUCUCCAUUCCCACAACUCAGUUUUUCUUUCCUUGCACAGCCUCUGGACCAGUCUGUAGCAUCCCAUCCUAUUUUAUCUUUUGGCUGAAAACCACGGAAACACAUGCACUUAGGAGAAUUGUCAAUGUUACAGCUCCCAUAAGCUCCACAUACCCUAUAAUAAUCACAAUCAUCAAUUGGUCCAGCAAGAAAACGCUGCCAAAUUCGAGAUUUUUCAAUCCAUACCCAUCUUUGUAUAUAACCUAAUGGAUUCAACACCCUCCUUGUAUAAACUGAACUAUUAACAGCUUCGUAAACAUAAUAUAACUCCUUGUCAUUAGAAACAAAAUUAAUCGUGUAAAUUUGGUUGGGGCUCAAGUUGGGCGUUCCAGAAAAUCUAAGGCCAUUCCAAGAUCCCCCACGUGAAUCUAUAGCCGAACCUUUCCUUAUCAUGAGCUGUGGAAAUCCAUUACGGUCAAUAUGAUUUGUAUAUUCACCUGGAGAUGGAUCAUCAAGACUCUUCCAGGAAGUGAGGUAUCUUUCUAGCCCCGUUUCCAAAUUCCACCCGAGCUUAGCACCUGGUAAAUGAGUGUUUCCAGGUUUAUCAAAACUUUGCCACAGGUAAUUAUCAGUCUCACUUUCAUCUCUAAUAACAAGAUUCCCAGAAUCCAGCAGCUGCACAACAGGAUUAUUCACAGAUGCCGUGGAGUUUGACGACCAAACCACAUCAUCAGAAGCAUUGAGAAUGACAAGAUUUCCGUUGCUGUUAAGUCUCAAGAUAUUUGAUGUAGUAUUGAGAGGAGCUUCUCUGUUGGCAAUCCACACAAUUGUCUUUUCCGCUAUCUUCUUGUACCAUAUACCCACGUACCGAUUUGCCGAACUCCCAACAGUUACAAAGCCAAGUUCGAAAUGAGCAGCAGAUGAAACAAUAGUGCUUCCAUCAUCUCUAAGGAUUUGGUCUGGUCCUAUAAUAUCUCCGGCUGCUGCUACUGUACAGUUUAGUGAAACUGAAAAUAACAAAAUGCAGACUAAAAAAAGCUUCAAAACUGUUGUAGAGCUGCAGCCUUCCAUUAACUUUGUUAUAUUAUUUCAGUUGUUGCUCAGAGAGAAAUGAAAAAUUAACAGUGUCCCCCCCGCCUUUUAAUUGUGGAUUUUACAUGUAGCUUUCCGAGAGGUAUUCCCCUUCCCUAACGUUAUGUCUGUCAAUUAUGCACCACACACGUUUCCAUCGGCAUCUGUAAUAUCAGCAGGAAUUCCCUUAUGAAACUUCGAAGUCCUUCCUUUAUUUGUGCCUGCUAUCUGCAUGACUUGUUUACUACGCUGAGAUUGAAAAACUUUCAAUAACAGUCUUUUUUAUUAGUUUAUAUGAAGAGACCAGCCUGGGAAACCACAUAUGUUGUCCGAGGUUUGCAAUGUUGUCUCAAUACAAAAGUGAUCUAUAGAAUCCGCCCCCGAAUCAUUUACAUAUCACAACAAGGCUGUGGUUACCAUCCAUUUUUACCCAAGGAAUCUAGUCCGUUGCAAUUUAUCAACUAGGGAUGCUGAUUUUUUAAAACUGCAGCCUGGCUUGGUCGAAAGUUUAAAGACAAGUAGACAACCCGCAUGUAAUAACAUAAAAAGCGCAUAAACCAAACCAUAUAAAUAUAAAUAUGGUGUGUUUUGCGUGCUUUAUAAAUUUAAAAAAUAAAUACUUUUAAUUGAAAUUAUGAAUAAAAUAUAAAUAUAUGGUGAUGAAAAUAUUUUUUAUAAUAAAUUUAUUUCAAAUUUAUAAUCUCCGAGUUGCAUACUAAAAAAAAUUUAAGCAAAAAUGUUUAUUUAAUAAUAAUGAGUAUCAGGACAUGUAUUAUUAUAAUAUAAUCAGUUUAUAGAAUUUAGUAUAAUAGUAAUACAAGAAGCUAGAUUUAUUAAAUAAUAACUAAUUAACUAUUUGGUUUCGAAAAAAAAUAAUUAAUCAAUUAUUAUUUGAAGAAGUUUAACAAAUAUACACAUAACAUAAUUGUAAAUUAUAUAUAUAUAUAUAUAUAUAUAUAUAUGUGUGUGUGUAUAUAAUGAGUUGGGCUCAAUGGAGAUCGUAAACUUUGGAGUCAUCAGAGACUACAAGAUCUACCGUUAAAAUAAUCUGACAAUUAAUAGACAUAAUUAAAUAUUCUUUAUCCUGCAUGUAUAGUAAUGUAAUAUUAAUAAUUUACACUAUUCUUAUCCUACAUUUCUAGUAAUAUAUUAUUAAUAUUCUCGUCCUGCAUUUCAUGUUUUAGUUUUAAUUCAAAACUAUCUUUAUAAUUUACACUAUUCUUGUCCUUCAUUUUUAGUAAUGUAAUAUUAAUAAUUUGUCCCUCAUAUUUGUGAUAUAUCUAAGUGUUAUUUUUGUCUUGCAACAAAUUCAAUUCGUUGCCGGACAAUGACAAUAAAUUUAAUGCUAAUCAUAACAAUUUCCAACUACAUCUUUGUUUGUUUUGUAUGCAAUUAUUAAUUUUAUUUGUUAAGAUUUCGGUGAUCGAAGACCAAUAUUAUGAAAUUAUUAUUUUAUGUUAGGCAGGAUUUAGAAGUACUACUUGUUAUUCACCGAUUUAGAAGUGCAGAAUAGGAUAAUAUUGCAGCACUUGGAUGUGUAAGAAAUGGCUUUUACUUAAUUCAAUAUUUGUAUACAGUGGUACUUUCUAAACUAUAAGAGCAUCUCCAAUGACGUUAGCUAUAAUUGUUGGCUAAAUUGGACCUGUAAGACAUUAUGUAAAAUUUGCUGAACCUGUAAGACAUUGUGUUUCAAUGGUAUUGGCUAUAUUGGUUGGCUAUGAUUUAAAAAUAGUAUGUUAUUAAUAUUUAGAUGUUAUAAAUAAAAUAUAUCAGUUUAAUAUGUUAAUUAAUAAUAUUUAAUUAGCAGGAAGGAGGAAAAUAAAUUGCGGGAAAUGACGUGGAAUUCACUACAGAUCUGUAGUGGUUCGACAAAUAUAGCUAUACAUAGGAGGAUGGCUAUAAUUAUACAUAAGGGCUUGUUGUGGUUGGAGUUAAUUUUUUAUGAAUAUUGGCUAUAAAAUUUAAUUUUGGAAAGCCACCUAGAUUUUUAGCUAAGGGCUUGGAAGGGUUGGAGAUGCUCUAAGCAAGAUAUAAAUUCUUUUGUCUGGCUUUGAUUCUAAUAAUUUUAAGGCAAACAAUACAUAAUUCAGUUGUAAAACCAGGUCAAAUUUAAAUUUGCAAGAACCGAACAUCUUUUGGUCUGCAGUCCAGUGGCAGAAGUCUCUUUACCAAGUUCCACACACUGUCGACCAAAUUUUCUUUCCAAAAAGAAAUGAGUGGUGACUUGCAUUUCUUCGCCCUCUAUUGACCGGAACCUUGUUGACAAGUUUGCAUAUCAACUUAGUCCUCCCCUUAUUCCUGUUUCGUGUGGCAAAAUAUUAGAACUUUAAAAGUUAAAUAAUUUAGUAUUAGAAUUGUGUUCUAAAAUAAAUAAAACAUUAGCCUGAACAGGUCCUGUGCUAUUGAUAAUGGAGCCAUCAAGCUCUGUUAUAUGAUAAGAUUUAAAAUAGAAUCGGAGUUGAUGCUAAAAUCUAACGAUGAAGUUUGGGAGGGAAACGGAUAACAGUGGUUGGGUCUGAGAGGGGAAUCAGUUGCUUCAAUCAAGAGUUUGCUGAUACAAUCAAUUACCACCAAAAUCUCAUGAAAAUCACUACGAAUAAGAAAGAGAUUUAGUUGCUGUAUAAAUAUAAUAAUGCUAAUAAUAUGUUUAUCUAGGAGCUAUAGCUGUCACACUGCAGUAGUUGGCUGAACACGAUGAAGAGUCUCCUUCGUGCACAUUCCUCUCGAUGAAAAAUCCUGGUUGCUUAGGUUGAGGCAGGGGAAGCUCACUGGUUAGCAUUAGCACCGCCGUUGCCAUGGUCGGCCUGUCUGCUGGAUAUUGUUGCACACAUAAUAACCCUAUUUGAAUAGCUCGAAACACUUCGUAUUGAUGUUCAGGGCUUAAAUUUUCAAUAACCUCAUCUACUAGGUCCAACGCGUUUCCAUCCAUAUAGGUUCUCCAUGACUAAAACAGUGGAAAUUUAGCGAUGAGUUCAAUUAGUAAAACAUAAGUAAUGACCAUUUUACUACUUUAUAUGAUGGUCCAGAAACUUACAUGUCCUAGAAAGUUAAGAUUGUGAUCUAGAUGAGUAAAAUUUUUGUUUCUUUUUCCGUUCACCGUCUCUAAAAUUAGUACCCCAAAGCUAUAAACAUCAGAUUUCACCGAAAAUAUGCCAUCCGCUGCAUACUCAGGAGACAUGUAACCACUGCAAGAACAUCUGAUCUAUCACAUUUUUGCUAAUAGAAACAUUAUUUCUUAGAAUGCAAGAUAUUCUUACUAUGUUCCAACUACUCUGGUUGUAUUGGCUCCUGUUUCCGUCUCUCCGCAGAUCCUUGCUGUGCCAAAAUCUGAAAUUUUUGGGUUCAUCUCAAGAUCGAGCAAAACAUUGCUGGCUUUAAGAUCCCUGUGUAUGAUCCGCAAUCUAGAAUCCUGAUGAAGAUAGAGAAGUCCCCUGGCGAUGCCAAUAAUGAUGUUAUACCGAGUAGGCCAGUCAAGCGUGUAUCUUUUCGUCUUAUCUAAUGAAAAGGUCAUUAAAGUUAAUCCAGUGCUGUGAAAACAAGGUGAAAAUUAUAUGAUUCAAAAAUUAAUACAUGAUCACUGUAACAGAGAAGAAGUAUACCAAAUAUGAACGAGUCCAGGCUUUUAUUGGGCAUGUAUUCGUACACCAACAUUCUUUCCCCGUCCUGCACAGAGCAGCCGAGAAGCUUCACAAGGUUUCGGUGCUGAAGUCGAGCAAUGCAUGAAACUUCAUUUUUAAACUCUUUCAACCCUUGCCUCGAAUCCUUUGAAAGCCUCUUUACAGCUAUUUCUUUUCCAUCGUCCAGCAUACCCUAAAACAAAUCAAUGAGAAACUGUCAUCUUCUGUAUUGGGAUAAAAUGACAUUUUCUUUCGUCAAUCACUCUAAUCAAGAAGCAAAAUCAUGGACCACGAGCUACACAUCAUAUAAUUUAUGUUUCUGAUUUCAUAAACAGUAAUUUUAUUUCUUGGGUUCUAUACGAUUAAGUUGACUUUUACCUUAUAGACAGGCCCAAAGCCACCUUCUCCAAGCAUGGAGUAUUUUGAGAAGCCAUUGGUUGCAAUAUCUAAGGUUGUGAAGUCAAACAAUGGCAACUCUAAAUCCUCGGCACCCAUCUCAUUGCUCCCACCGUUUGCAAAAUACGGGUUUUUUAUCCCUGCGAUUUCCAUGUGCAAACUCAUACAGUAAAGUAAAGUAAAAGCAUAAACUUGGAAAUUCGAAAGAACACUGAAUUCUUGUAAUACCUUCUCUGUGCUUCUUCUUCUUUUUGUUCCUGAUUACCCACAGGCCUACACACAUCAUUGUUACCGUCAUCAGAAUAGCUAUCAAAACGAACCAUACUUUGGAUCUUCCUUUUUUAGCUUCACAAUCAACCAGAAAGUAUAUCAAUAUACUAGAUUCAACAAAAGAGGGAAAGACAUAUAUGUAAUAAGCAGCGCUGAAACAGUUAGUAAAUGAAAACACUCAGAAUACCUAAUUCAGAUGCAGCCAUUCUUAUGUAAAGAUCUUGACCAUUCUCUUUCUGAUAUCUAAUAUCAAUAAGCUCAUUAAACCAUAACAAGCAUCCGCUUCCACUGCCUCUUAACAUCUGUAUUUGCAUAAGCUGUGCAUGAGCAAUUGGUCAAGCACAUUUUCUCGCACUCACCAAGGCUCAUAUUCUUAUCAAACCAAGAACGCUGAGUAUCUGGUAAUUUCAAGCCUGAAUGUUUAACAAAUCCAUCUCCAUUCUGACAACUCAGUUUUUCUUUCCUUGCACAGCCACUAGACCAGUCUGCAGCAUCCCAUCCAUUUUUAUCUUUUGGCUGAAAACCAUUGAAGCACAUACACACAGGAGAAGUGUUAAUGUUACAGCUCUCAUAAGCCCCACAUACGCUAUAAUAAUCACAAUCAUCUAUUGGUGGAGAAGAAUAAGGCUGCCAAAUUUGAGAUUUUUCAAUCCAUACCCAUCUUUGUAUAUGACCAGAUGGAUUCAACACCCUCCGUGUAUAAACUGAACUAUUAACAGCUUCGUAAAUAUAAUAUAAGUCCUUAUCGUUAGAAACAAAAUCAUACUUGUAAAUUGGGUUGGGGCUCAAGUUGGGCGUGCCAGAAAAUCUAAGGCCAUUCCAAGGCCCAGCACGUGAAUCUAUAGCGGAACCUUUCCUUAUCAUUUGCUGUGGAAAGCCAUUACGUUCAAUAUAAUUUGUAUAUUCACCUGGAGAUGGAUCAUCAAGACUCCUCCAAGAAGUGAGGGGUCUUUCUAGCCCAGUUUCCAAAUUCCACCCCAGCUUAGCACCCGGUAAUUCAGUGUCGCCAGGUUUAUCAAAACUUUGCCACAGGUACUUGUCACUCUCACUUUCUUCUCUAAUGACAAGAUUCCCAGAAUCCAGCAGCUGCACGACAGGAUUAGUCACAGAUGCUGUGGAGUUUGAUGACCAAACUACGUCAUCAGAAGCAUUGAGAAUGACAAGAUUUCCGUUGCUGUUAAGUCUCAAGAGAUUUGAUGUAGUAUUGAGAGGAGCUUCUCUGUUGGCAAUCCACACAAUUGUCUUUUCCGCUAUCUUCUUGUACCAUAUACCCACAUACCGAUUAGCGGAACUCCCAACAGUUACAAAGCCAAGCUCGAAAUGAGCAGCAGAUGAAACAAUAGUGCUUCCAUCAUCUCUAAGGAUUUGGUUGGGUCCUAUUAUGUCUCCGGCUGCUGCUACAGUACAGUUUAGUGAAACUGAAAAUAACAAAACAGUUUAGUGAAACUGAAAAUAACAAAAUGCAGAAAAAGAAAAGCUUCAAAACUGUGGCAGAGCUGCAGCCUUCCAUUAACUUUGUAAUAUUCUUUCACUUGUUGCUCAGAGAGAGAUAAAAAAUCAACCGUCGUCUCCUUGAUNCAACACCCUCCGUGUAUAAACUGAACUAUUAACAGCUUCGUAAAUAUAAUAUAAGUCCUUAUCGUUAGAAACAAAAUCAUACUUGUAAAUUGGGUUGGGGCUCAAGUUGGGCGUGCCAGAAAAUCUAAGGCCAUUCCAAGGCCCAGCACGUGAAUCUAUAGCGGAACCUUUCCUUAUCAUUUGCUGUGGAAAGCCAUUACGUUCAAUAUAAUUUGUAUAUUCACCUGGAGAUGGAUCAUCAAGACUCCUCCAAGAAGUGAGGGGUCUUUCUAGCCCAGUUUCCAAAUUCCACCCCAGCUUAGCACCCGGUAAUUCAGUGUCGCCAGGUUUAUCAAAACUUUGCCACAGGUACUUGUCACUCUCACUUUCUUCUCUAAUGACAAGAUUCCCAGAAUCCAGCAGCUGCACGACAGGAUUAGUCACAGAUGCUGUGGAGUUUGAUGACCAAACUACGUCAUCAGAAGCAUUGAGAAUGACAAGAUUUCCGUUGCUGUUAAGUCUCAAGAGAUUUGAUGUAGUAUUGAGAGGAGCUUCUCUGUUGGCAAUCCACACAAUUGUCUUUUCCGCUAUCUUCUUGUACCAUAUACCCACAUACCGAUUAGCGGAACUCCCAACAGUUACAAAGCCAAGCUCGAAAUGAGCAGCAGAUGAAACAAUAGUGCUUCCAUCAUCUCUAAGGAUUUGGUUGGGUCCUAUUAUGUCUCCGGCUGCUGCUACAGUACAGUUUAGUGAAACUGAAAAUAACAAAACAGUUUAGUGAAACUGAAAAUAACAAAAUGCAGAAAAAGAAAAGCUUCAAAACUGUGGCAGAGCUGCAGCCUUCCAUUAACUUUGUAAUAUUCUUUCACUUGUUGCUCAGAGAGAGAUAAAAAAUCAACCGUCGUCUCCUUGAUUAAUGUCAUAUAUGUAAUAUCGGUUUUUCUAGUGUGUGCCCAUGGACAUACACUAAGCACCAAAUUUUAUAAAUUUGGUGGAUUUUGAUUGGCUCAUGCUUCUUUAUAAUGGUGGACCCCCCUGCAAAUUCACCAACCACACCAAUCAAAAUCCACCAAAAUUAUAGAUUUUGGUGCUUAGUGUGUGCCCAUGGGCACACACUAGACAAACCCAUGUAAUAUAAACAUUGAAUUCUAUCUUAGGCAAAUUCCAAGUGUUUGCUUUAUUUAUGACUGCUAUCUGCAUGACUUGAAUCCUACAGCUGACUAUGUAAAAUUAUUAUGAAGUCACCAUGCUGCACUCAGUAAAAUAAUACCUCCAUCAUAUCUCAGCACCAAAAACUCAGCCCAACAGAUUGAAUGCGAUCUUAUAUCUUAUGAAAUAUGAACUGUGAAUUCUAUCUUAUAUCUUAUGAAAAUUUCAAGUAUUUUUUUUAUUUCUGACUGUUAUCUGCAUGACUGAAUCCUGCGGUUGACUAUGUAAAAUUGCAUUCUCAAAGAGUUAAAUAUCCGGUAGGUGACUGUUUCGUCUAAAAAAUUCAAGCAGAUUUUUGACUCAAACUGGUCAUCACUUAACUUAAUUUAUUUAUGCCGAAAAUCGAAGAUUGAAUUACCCAAAAUUAAAAAAUGAUAAAAUAGGAGGGUAAAGCUGGUCAAUAUGAUUACUAAAAUUUGCUAAUUGGCUCACAGAAUCAUGGUUAAAUCAGGUUUUGAUUCCUUGAAACCUCAAAAAUAGGGAAAAUCAAAGCCAGAUUUUACCAUGAUUCUAUGAGUCAUAUAGCAAGUUUUAGUAAUCAUAUUGAAGUUUCUAUAUUAACAUUUUUCAAUUUUGGGUAAUUUCAAUUUUUUACUUUAACGGAAUGAUCAAAUUAAAUUGAUUAAUGAUUAGUUUGAGUCAAUUUUAUGAUGAUUGGCCUAAUUGAAUUUUUUGGGCCAAUAAAUCCCCUGCUUGAUUUCAGAAUACAUACAUAUAUUUGAAUAAAUCCUUAUUUUCUUCGAAUAACACUUGCCAAACAUGCCCAAAAUAUAAAUUACUAAAAUACAAAUAAAUCAUUGAUUGAAUCUUUUUCACUGACGUUGCAUAAUAUAGCAAAAAUUUAUUAGUAGAGAUCUCAAACAAAUAAUUCGGAUUCGGAUUUGUCUAUAUCCGCAUCUGGAUUCGAAAAUUCAUAUGUGUGACUAGAUCCGAAUCUGAAUUUUUUAAAAAGUAAUAUCCGAAUCUAGAAAUACAUAUGGAAACACACACUAUAAUAUGAAUACAUAUGGAAACACACACUAUAAUAUUAUAUAUAAUUAAUUUCGGAUUUAGAUAUUAUGAGAUAAGAAAUAAAUAUGCCUAUAUUUAUAUUCAUAUCCGGAUUAAUCGGAUGCGAAAAUAUCCAUUUUGUCUCAAUUAUAAAUAAUAUCCAUUUUAUCUCAGAUAUUACAAACGGAUAUCAGGUUAUUUGGACCAGCUAUUAGAGCAUCUCCAACGGCGUUGGCUAUAAUCGUUGGCUAAAUGGGACCUGUAAGACAUUAUGUAAAAUUUGUUGAACGUGUAAGACAUUUUGCUUCGAUGGUAUUGGCUAUAUUGGUUGGCCAUAAUUUAAAAAUAGUAUGUUAUUAAUAUUUUAGAUUGUUAAAAUAGAAUAUAUCAGUUCAAUAUGUUAAUAAAUGAUGUGCAAUCUUUCUACAGAUUUCUUACAGACCUGUAGAGGUUCGACAAAAUUAGUCAUCCAUAGGAUGUUGGCUAAAUUUAUAAAUAAUAGCUGAGCAUGGUUGGAGUUGAAUUUUUUGAACUAUUGGCUAAAUUUUUUUUAUUUUAAAUAUGCCAACUCACUUUUUGGCCAAGGGUUUUCAAUGGUUGGAGAUGCUCUUACUUGACUUUAAUAUUGGUAGACACUACUCCCUCCGUUUCUUUAUUCUUUUCCUGUUUGUGAUGUUGAUACUGUUUAUAACAUGAGACACAUUAUUGAAUUACAUCUAAUCUACAAGACUAAAUAUAAUCGUGAGUGAUCUUGUUGGAUUGGUAUUCACGAGUACUUUAAUACGGUGAAAUUUUAAUAUUUAAUGCUAAUAUGAAAUUGAAGAUAGUAACAAUGUGUUGGCAAACGUGAAAAACACGUACAUGAAAAGUAUUAACAGACGGAGGGAGUACUAUAUAGUGCUACAUUCUAAGCUGUAAGCAAGAGUUAUACUCCCUUCGUCCAACCAGAAAGUUUACGUACACUGUUUGCACGCAUUUUGAGGAUCUCGUAAAGUAUAGUUCUAUAACGUUUUUUUAAUUUCUUUUCUUUUUCUGAAUAAAAGUUUAAACUUCAAACCUUUUUUCAGGAUUUUUUUAAAUAAUAAAAACAUUANAUUUUUUUAAAUAUAUAUAUAUAUAUAUAUAUAUAUAUAUAUAUAAUGUACGUAUAUUUUGUAAGAUCCUUAAAAUGCAUGUUAAAGUAAAGAAACUGAUGGGACGGAGGGAGUAUUCUUUUUGUCUACUAGUUGAGAAGCCGCGCGUUGCGGCGGCCUAUAAAAAAUAUAUUAGUGAUUCAAUAUUAAUAUUUGUAGAAUGCAAUAAUUUUAUUACUAUCUAUAAAAAGUAUAUUAAUGAUUAAAAAUUAAAAUUCGUAGGAUAAAAUAAAUUUUAUAUUAUAAAAAUCUUGAUGUAAUACCAAUACUAAUAUAUAAAAUUGCAAAAUUAGACUAUAAUUCAUGUUGAAAAAAUGAAAAUAAAUUUCUACACGCAAUUAACAAUUUAAAGCACAAUGAAUCUUAAUUUUAUUUGUGUUUUUUUUUUAAAAGUGAUCAUGUUCUUACAUUGUCACCCUCCUCCAAUUUUUUUGGAUUGAUUGUGCACAAAAACAUCUAACUUAAAUCCGUGAGAUAGCGGUCUAUAACUACCCUUGCUUGUAACAAGCUUUAUUUUUUAAUACUGUAUAAACAGUCUUCACUUAAUAGUUGCUUGAACGAAGCAAACAGAUAAUGCAUGAAUAAUAUCUUCCCGUGUACAAAAUAAAUCAUAUAAAAAGUAACAACAACAAACAUGUGCGAUGAACAAAACAAAUAUUAUAGAAGAAUAACCAACAAACAUAUAUCACUAAUAGUUAAAUUAUUGAUAUUAUCCAUCAAUAUCAUGUCAACACUAUAUUCUUCUCCCGUGUUUGGAUUUGUCGACUCCCAUAUAGCUGUCUAUAACUACCUUUGUUUGCAACAACCUUUUUUUUAAUACCGCAUAAACAGCCUUCACUUAUCGUUGCAGAAGAACGGCACCACCGAGUUAGAAAUCGAGCAAGAGAACUAUCACCAGAGAGAGGUAAGGUUGUGUUUAGAUGAUCCAAAACACUACAACCUACGGGGGUAUUUAUAGGUGCAGAGAGACUUGUGCGCUACUAUUUCCCAUAAUUAAAUUAUCUGAAACAAAAUCAGAUUAAAACUUUCAAGCCGCUAUAUUCCAUAAAUAAUCUGAAACAAAAUCAGAUUCUGAAACUUACUUCUAAUAUCCGAAACUAAAAAAGGUAAUUAUAAUUUUUGAUAUUUUUCAUUCGAAAAUUCCAGAAAAUUAGAAAAAUAGAACGGAGCGAUGUGAGAGGGGCCACCUCCACGCCCCUCGCUUCUCCUUUAUAUAGAAACAAAAUCAAAUUAAAACCUUAAAGCUACUAUAUUCCAUAAAUAAUCUGAACAAAAUCAGAUUCUGAAACUUGCUUCUAAUAUAUCCAAAACUUAAAAAAGUAGUUUUAAUUUUUGAUAUUUUUCAUCCAAAAAUUGCAGAAAAUUAGAUAAUAAAACGGAGCGAUGUGAUCCAAAAAUUCCAGAAAAUUAGAAAAAUAGAACGGGGCGAUGUGAAAGGCGCCAUCUACGCGCCCCUCGCUUCUCCUAUAUAUAAGAAUAUUGACCAGCAGACGUCUCUUCCUGACUGUUACUAUUGUGAAUAGUAAGGAUAGCUUGGACACUAGUCAGCAGGGAUCAAAAGCAAACAAUGUGCUUACUCUUACUGUGUAAAAGCCUCAGCAUAAAGCAAAUAUACAGUUGGCAGUUAACUCUCAAAUUUGUAACAAACUAUUGAGUAGUGUGUGGUGUUAGUUACAGUCAACUCAUGUGUUGACUCAUAGUGCUAUAAAUAGUCUUGAGUGGUGCUCUGUAAACUCAACUUUUCUAGCAAUAUAUUUUCUUUUUUCUUUUUUUUUUUUUUUGCAGAAAAGAAAAUAUAUUGCUAGAAAAGUUGAGUUUACAGAGCACCACUCAAGACUAUUUAUAGCACUAUGAGUCAACACAUGAGUUGACUGUAACUAACACCACACACUACUCAAUAGUUUGUUACAAAUUUGAGAGUUAACUGCCAGCUGUAUAUUUGCUUUAUGCUGAGGCUUGUACACAGUAAGAGUAAGCACAUUGUUUGCUUUUGAUCCCUGCUGACUAGUGUCCAAGCUAUCCUUACUAUUCACAAUAGUUACUCCCUCCGUCCCAGCCAAUUCUUUACGUUUGGUUUGGGCACGGAGGUUAGGAAAUAUGUAUAAAGUAGUGGAAAAGAGAAGGAAAAAUGGGUGAAGUGGUGGGACCCAUCAAUUUUUAAUGUAUAAAAGAGAGAUAGUGGAGUAAAAGUAGUGUGAAAAGGGUGUAAAAGUAGUGUGAAAAGGAAGGAAAAGUUGGGAAGUGGUGGGACCCAUUUACUAUUUUUGGUAAGUUUUGAAAUGUAAAGAAUUGGAUGGGACAUCCCAAAAAGGAAACUGUAAAGAAUCUGGUGGGACGGAGGGAGUACCAAGUUCCACACAUUGUCGGCCAAUUUUUCACCCCAAAAAUUAAUGAGGGGGUGACUUACAUUUCUUCGCCCUCUAUUGACCGGAACCUUGUUGACAAGUUUGUAUAUCAAUCUCGUCCGCCCAAUAUUCAUGUUUUGUUUUGCAAAAUAUCAAAACUUUUAAAACUGAAAUUAUAAUAUUAAAAUCGGUUUCUCUAUGCACACAAUAAGCACAAAAUUUGAAUACUUUUCUUUCUUUUGAUUGACUUACAUCUCUUUAAUAAUGAUGGCUCUCCCUGCAUUCACACCAACCACCAAUCAAAACAUACCAAAUUUAUAAGUUUUCCAUGUGCCCAUGCACACACUGGACAAACCGUAUUGAAAUUACUUAAAAGUAAGCUUGUGCUCCCGAAAAGUAAGGAGACUUUAUGUGAGUAGUAUAUACUCCAAGAGAUUCGAGUUGUGAUAGAUUGGCAUAUUGUCGUCCACAGGUGUAAAUUGAUUAACCAGGGCUCCGAAGUAAAUUGGUAAAUGAGGGCUCUGCUUCUGGAGCAACUUGAAUAUGAUAGGGGCUGUUUGGUUAGAGGUAACUGACAAAAGGAAAGGGAAACAAUCCGUUGCCUUCCUUUUGUUGUUGUUUGUUUCAUGAAAUCUGUCAUUUUCUUUCGCUUGUUUUGAUUUUAGGUUUACCCCAAAUCCCCUGAUCCAUUCCCCACUCCCCAGGUAUUUCUUUUCCCUUUCCUGAUUCUUCUUUUAUUUUCAAUUAUAAUUUAUUUCAAAAAUCAUUAACAUUAAAAAAUAAUAUGUAAAAUAUUUUUGAAGAUCAAAAAUAAAUUUUAUUUUAGUUUUUACAUAUUAAAAAUUAAUGAAAUUUUUAAAUAAUAAAAUAUAUCAAAUUAUAAACGUAAAUAUAUUUGACUCUUUUGAUAUUAUUUAAUAUUUAAAAAUCAAAUAUAGAAAUAAUCAUAUAAUUUUUCAUUCCGUUUCCGGAUCAAAACCAAACAAUUAAUACAAUUCAGCAUCAUUCCUUUCCUUUCUUUUUGUUUCCCUUUCUGAAUCCCAUUCCGUUUCCUUAACUCGAACCAAACGGCUUAACAAAAGAAACCCCCAAGUUUUGUAAUAAAUAUAUAUUUAUAGCUAUAUAUUUUUUUAACUACAUAGUUAUGUUGUUUUAGAAAUUUUCAACUUAUUUUGAUAAAUACUAGAGACAAUUAUAAAAGUACUCGGAGUGAUUUUAUAAUAAAAAAAUAAUCCGUUGAUUUUUAUAAAUGAUAAAAUAAAGAAGUAUGAACAGUGAAAUGGGUAAAAUGAUAUAUCUUUGGCAUAUAUUAGUUUAAAUGAGCUUUGAUGAGAUGGGUGGGUAAGUAAUCAAGUGAUAUAUUUUGACGUAAUGGCGGCAAGUUUGAUAUAAAACCGCUAGAAGAGCUACUACAUUGGAAUAAAUGCAUACUCAAUUGUGAAAUCACCAUGAUGCACUCAGUAAAAUAACACUAUCAAAUUACUUAGACCAACAGUCUCUUACAGAUCCUUGCCAGGCCAAAAUUUGAAAUUUUCGGGUUCAUCCCAUAAUUUUACUUGCUUGCUAGAAAAAACACACCAUCAUCCUUUUCAUUUACUAGAAAAAAAAGAGACCGUCUUUUAUGUACUCUAGACACAUGUAUCCACUGCAUUAUAAUUUUUUGCAUUAAGAAAUUUGGAUUAUAAUGUGAAUACAUAUCAAUGUAUUAAUUUAUCUGGGCUUCUCUACUGUUUAUCCAAAAUCAGGAAUUUUAAUAAGGAAAAAAAAAAGGGCAGUCAAGUAGUGUGGUACUCCCUCCGUCGCAUUGGGAUGUAUAGGUUCACUGUUAAUGCACCGGAAAAACCUGUAGAUAAUAAAUCAUGCCUAAGGGCGUGGACAAGAAAUUUAUGUGGUAAAUUCAAUCCGGAUUUUAAAAAUUAUUCCAUUCAUAUGAAAUUAUGAACUAAUUAAUCUAAUUUAGUAUUCACUAAAUCAUUCCAUUGAUAUGAACGAGAAUUAGACUUGUGUUACUAAAUAAAUAAGAAACAUUAGCAUGAACCGGCUUUUUACCAUCAAUCAUGGAUCCAAGCUCUAUUACAUGAUACUCCCUCCGUUUCAAAUUGGAUGUUCACCUUCACAAAAUCACACGGUUUAAGAAAAUUAUAUGUUCAUAAAUUAAUUACAAUCAUAAUAUGUGGAAUGAAGUUAAAUUUAGGAAAUACAAAUAAGAUAUAUGUGAAUUUGAAAAUAUAAUUUUACAUUGAAAGUUGAAGUGGACAGCUAAAUUGAAACAAUUUUUUUUCAUAAAAGUUCUGUCAAAAAGAAACCUUAAAAUAGAUAUGUAAAUUGGAACGGAGGGAGUAAGAUUUAAAAUAUAAUCAAAGUUAAUGCUAGAAUCUAACAAUGAACUUUGGGAAGGAAACAGUGCUUGGUUUGAGAGGGAAAUCAGUUGCUUCAAUCAAGAGUUUGUUGAUACAAUCAAUUACAACCAGAAUCUCAUGAAAAUCACUUGGAAUAAGAAAUUGAUUUAUUUGCUGUACUGUGAAUAUAAACAUAUAAUAAUGCUAUAAUAACACAUUGUUUCUCUCUUUCGUUUUGGACUUUGAAAUAUUAAAAGCGGCAAUCAUAAUUUAUAUUUUUUAAUAGAAUAAAAACGAGAAAUAAUAUGUUUAUCUAGGAGCUAUAGCUGUCACACUGCAGUAGUUGGAUGAACACGACGAAGAAUCUCCUUCGUGCACAUUCCUCUCGAUGAAAAAUCCAGGUUGCUUAGGUUGAGGCAGGGGAAGCUCACUGGUUAGCAUUAGCACCACCGUUGCCAUGGUUGGCCUAUCCGCCGGACAUUGUUGCACACAUAAUAACCCUAUUUGAAUAGCUCGAAACACUUCGUAUUGAUGUUCAACCCUCAGGGAUGACGCUCAUCACUGGUUCAAGAGGCUUCCCGAAUAGCUCGAAACACUUCGUAUUGAUGUUCAGGGCUUAAAUUUUCAAAAACCUCAUCUACUAGGUCCAACGCAUUUCCAUCUAUAUAGGUUCUCCAUGCCUAAAACAUUUGGAAAUUUAGCGAUGAGUUCAAUUAGUUGUCACAUUUCAAUUUUUGUUGGUCAAAUUGACUAACUUUUCAUCAAAGAUAGUCACUCUUUCAUUAUUUUAAAAAACUGAAAAUUACAUGUAGAUUAAAAGUUAUUCCCGAUGACAUAUUUUUUUUAUUUUUGUAAUUGAUAAAAUAUUAAUAAAUUUCAAUCAAACUUUGGUCAAUUUGACCGACAAAAAACUAAAGUGACAACUAAAAAGGGACGGAGAGAGUACUUUAUAUGAAGGUCUAGAAACUUACAUGUCCGAGAAGGUUAAGAUUGUGAUCUAGAUGAGUAAAAUUUUUGUUUCUUUUUCCAUUCACCGCCUCUAAAAGGAGUACCCCAAAGCUAUAAACAUCAAAUUUCACCGAAAAUAUGCCAUCCGUUGCAUACUCAGGAGACAUAUAACCACUGCAAGAAUAUCUCAUGUAUCACAUUUUUGCUAAUAGAAACAUUAUUUCUUAGAAUGCAAGAUAUUCUUACUAUGUUCCCACUACUCUGGUUGUAUUGGCUCCUGUUUCCGUCUCUCCACAGAUCCUUGCUGUGCCAAAAUCUGAAAUUUUUGGGUUCAUUGAUAAAGUAUAUAUUUAUAUAUAUUUUAGAUGAUAAUUGUUCUCAUAUUAGUUAUAUUUUGCAUUCAAUUGGACAUAUAUUAAUUAUAUUUUAAUAUCUUAUUGUAGGGAGCAAGGAAUUCUAAAUUGGAGAGGAUUUGGAGCAAAUUAGAAGAAAAUUCGCAACUAUUGGGCUACCCGCAUUCGGAAUAUUGUUUGGGCCAUAUCUUGAGUUUUAGAAGUCGGAUUUGGGCGAUUCAACAGCUCACGCGAAGAUAAUAUAAUUUUCUAUCAUUCUAGAUGGGUCCAGAUAUCAAAAGCCCGCUGAAACAGCCCAGGAACAGGGGAGAAAGUCAACUGCGAAUUUUGACCUUUUGGAAACCCAUUCAGUUUCGGAAUUGCCUUGUAUAUUCCUAUUAGAAUAAAAACACUUUUGUAUUAGGUUUUAUUAGAUAGAGAAUUACAUACGUGCUACUGAGGAGAGCCACGGAGAAGAAGAGAAAGGAUCGGUAUUCUGUAUCGAUUUCUAUUCUUUUUAUGAUUCUUAUGUGUUUUACUAUGAUUAUGAUUGGCUAAACCUCGAUUGUUGGAGGGCUGUUUUGAAGCCCUAAACUUUAUGACAAUGAUAUUUUGAUUUUCCGAGAUAUGUUCUUGAUUGCACUUAUAUAUACGUCAAUGCUUAUAGAUAUUCUUGAAUUAACUGUGGUAUGUGGACAUCCAAUUCAGUUAUGUGAUUGAUAUAUCUGUAAAGUCAAUUAAUCUUUCUAUGUGGUCCAUGGGAUUAAUUGUAUCAGUGUGUAAUCUGUUUAGCCUUUCUAUGUGGUCCAUGGGGUUAUGCGGAUAGCAGAGCUUGUUUCUAUGUGGGCCAUGACAAGUUCUCUAUAAGUGUCUUUCAGUACAUAUCAUAAGGGUUUCAGAGUAUGUCAUGGGUUUAGUGGUGGAUUAAUAUGCUUUCCAACAUGCUUCUUUAAUUGUUAAAAACACAUUUGCUUUAGUUUAAUAAUUAGUUUAAUUAAUAGAUAAAACAAAAUCCAAUCGUUAUUUCUUUGCAAAAUAUAAGUUAAGUGAGCCCUUGAUUCCUGGCGUUGAACGAUACCCUUACUUAUUCUAUAUUAUUAUCGGCAGAAAAAGGGUUUAAAUUGAGUCACAUCAAUUUUUGGCGCCGCGCCGCCGGGGAUUGAAAUUCACUUUGCUUUUGUUUUGUAUUAAUUUUUGUCGUUGUGGUUUAAACGGUUUGUGUUUUCAGGUACAUGGUCAAAACCCGUACAUCUGAAGAACCUCUUGAACCGUUUGAAGAUAAUCCUGAGAAGCUCUUUCGUAAGAAGAGCGAGACUGAAAAAGAUCAAUUAGACAAGAAAAGUGGAGGGAAGCUCAUUGUAGUCGAUAUGGCUAUGGUACCUACACUUCGUGAUGAUGUUGCUGUUUCGGUUGCUAAUAUUGGCCAUUCAUGUAUGGUCUAUCCCAAUCCUGCUGUGGGGAAAAGCAACAGUUUUGAAAUCAAGCAGAAUUUGCUCAUGAGACUACCUGUCUUCCAUGAUCUUCCAACUGAGGAACCUAAUCAACAUCUCUCUAGGUUCGUGACUAUUGUGGAAAGCAUGGGACCUGACAUGGCAGACCCUCAAAUUCUGAAGAUGAAGGCUUUUCCAUUCUCUCUUGACGGAUCAGCUCUUGACUGGCUAGAAGAAUUGCCAGUGGGUUAUAUUACUUCUUGGGAGAAAUUGGCCCAGGAAUUCUUGCAGAAAUUCUAUCCGGCAACUCGAGUCAUGAACAUGAGAAGCCAAAUAGCUGGAAUUCAUCAAAAUGCCACUGAAACUUAUGCUGAAUAUUAUGCAAGAUUCCAAAAGCUGCAAAAGAGAUGCCCACAACAUGGAUUUUCUAAGGGGAGUCUUCUUCAUUUUUUCUAUCAAGGUCUUCAUGAAGGUGAAAAGAAACUCUUAAAUUCAGCUGCUGGUGGUGCUUAUGUAGAUUUAUCUCAUGAUGCUGCGGAGAAACUAAUUGCUAAGGGAGCUGCUAAUGAACUUCAAUAUGGUAGUCGUGCAAGUUCUGGCACAACUCAGGGAGCUCAAUCUGAUCAAAGGCUCUCAAAUAUUGAGCAAAGUAUCGAAAAACUGAAUGCAUUAUUAUUGAGCGCUAAAACACCGACAGCUCAAGUAUGUGGUAUUUGUUCAACUCCGGGACAUUUUACUGAUGGUUGUCCUACAUUGGUUGAACCUACUUUUGAAGAUGUUAAUGCUGUUGGCUUUGGCAAUCAAGGAGCAAACCAAUUCUCUAAUACAUUCAAUCCAAGAUGGAAGGAUCACCCCAAUUUGAGGUACGGGAACACUAACAAUGUUUUGAAUGGGUUUCAAUUUCAAAACAAUUCUGCACCAUCUGGUUUUCUACAAAGGGGGCAAGUCCCUCAAAGCACGAACAAUGAUAACACUAUUGAGAAAUUACUGUCCAAGUUGGUGGAUGGGCAAACGGAAAUGCAAAAACAAUGCACUACCAAUUCUCAAGACAUUAGAGAGAUGCAGAAGCAACUUGGGGAUGUGAUAAAGAAAAUUAAUCAAGAACAUGAGCCUGGACGGUUGCCUGGAACUACACAACCAAAUCUGAAAUUCGAGCAUGCUAACAUCAUUACUACUAAGAGUGGCCGGAAUGUCAUUCCCACUCAAAAGGUAUUGGAAAAUCAGGUUGAUAAGCAUGGUAUCGAAAAAGACCCGGCAACUGAAAGAACUUCACACAACAAAUUGGUUGAAGAAAGUGAGAAUUCUCAAGCCAAGGAGGAUAGUCAUGAGAAUGAAGAUGGAGCUGAGAUUGUGCACAACAAUUCUGAGGAGAAACAUACUUCUCUAAUUUCUGGAAGUAAGUCUCUCAAACCUUCAAAUUCAGUUAUUACUAAUAGUCGCUUCGAUUCUGUCCCUUUCCCAGCUAGGUUGGUUCAGACAAAGAAGAGUGCAUUAGAGACAAAUAUUUUGGAGACUUUUCGCAAGGUUCACAUUAAUUUGCCUUUACUGGAGUGCAUUCAGAAUCUUCCAGCAUAUGCCAAGGUAUUGAAGGACUUGUGUACUAAACGAAGGAGGCUCAAGGGGAGUGAAGUUGUUGAGAUGAAGGAGAAUGUGUCUGCGGUUCUACAAGGAAGGUUACCAAGAAAGUGUAAGGAUCCAGGAAGCUUCACUAUUCCUUGCACCAUUGGUAAAUCUAAAUUUGAGAAUGCGUUACUUGAUUUGGGUGCGUCAAUUAAUGUUAUGCCAUCUAGCUUGUAUGAGAAAUUGUGUAUUAAAACUGAACUUAAAACAGAUGGUGUUACAAUUUUAUUAGCUGACAGAUCUCACGUUUACCCGAAAGGUGUUUUGGAGGAUGUUCUUGUGCAGGUUGGCAGGUUUCAAUAUCCGGCUGAUUUUUAUAUCUUAGACAUGGGAGAUGCGAAUAAUGCACAACUUAUUCUUGGUAGACCAUUCAUGUGUACCGCUCAAACAAGAAUCGAUGUUGCAAGGGGAGAGCUCAGUAUGGACUUUGAUAAUGAAACCAUCAAGUUCAACAUGUUUGAGAUGAUGCGAUAUCCCGUGGAUACUGAGACAUGCUUUACAAUGAGUACAACUGGUAGCAUGGCUCAAAAGUACUUCGAGCUGAUGAAAGAUGAUGUAUUAGAAACAGUGAUUUCUCAAGGCAUUGGUGUUAAUCAGGAGGGAAAUUCUCAAGCUCUUGAAGAGAUUUCUAUCAUUCAUAUAGAUGAAAUUCUAGAGCAAUGCAACGCCUUGCAAGGAGCAGAGAUUACAGGAGAACGGAAGUUUGUACUCCCUAAAACUUCUAGCGAAAAGCAGUUGCCGUCAGUUGUUCAAGCACCAAAAUUGGACCUUAAGCCAUUGCCUUCCCAUCUCAAGUAUGUUUUUCUUGGAAAAGACGAGACACUACCGAUCAUAAUCUCAUCAAAGCUCACAUCUGUGCAAGAAGAAAAAGUGGUGGAGUUGGUCCGCAAUCACAUCAAAGCUAUUGGUUGGAGUUUGGCGGAUAUUAGGGGAAUCAGCCCCACACUAUGUGUUCAUAGAAUUCACUUGGAAGAAGGUGCCAAACCUGUUAGAGUUCCUCAACGGCGACUCAAUCCUCCUAUGAUGGAGGUUGUGAAGAAGGAAGUCAUUAAGCUGCUAGACAAUGGGAUCAUCUAUCCAAUUUCUGACUCUAAGUGGGUUUCUGCUGUUCAUGUUGUUCCUAAAAAGUCUGGUAUUACAGUGGUAGCAAAUGAGGAGAAUGAGUUGGUGCCUCAACGUACAGUGACUGGUCAUCGUGUUUGUAUUGAUUACAGGCCUCUCAACAAUGCUACAAGGAAAGAUCAUUUUCCUUUGCCGUUCAUUGAUCAAAUGUUGGAAAGGUUAGCCGGUCAUGAGUACUAUUGUUUCUUAGAUGGGUACUCUGGAUAUAAUCAGAUUGCUAUAGCUCCAGAAGAUCAAGAGAAGACAACAUUUACAUGUCCUUUUGGUACAUUUGCCUUUAGACGCUUGUCUUUUGGUCAAUGUAAUGCCCCUGGAACGUUUCAAAGAUGCAUGAUGAGCAUAUUCUCUGAUUAUGUAGGAAAAAUUAUUGAGGUUUUCAUGGAUGAUUUCAGUGUCUUUGGAGAUAGUUUUGAUGAUUGCUUGAAGAAUUUGGGGGUUGUUUUGAAAAGAUGUGAAGAAACAAAUUUAGUGCUCAAUUGGGAAAAAUGCCACUUCAUGGUAACCCAUGGGAUUGUUCUUGGACAUGUGAUUUCUUCAAAAGGUAUUGAGGUCGAUAAAUCUAAAAUUGACUUGAUACGGUACUUGCCCACUCCGUCAAGUGUAAAGGAGAUUCGGUCUUUUCUUGGCCAUGCUGGUUUCUACAGAAGAUUUAUUCAGGACUUCUCUAAAAUAGCAAGGCCCUUAACUAAUCUUCUUCAAAAGGAUGUACUUUUCGAGUUCAAUGACGAGUGCAAGGUGGCAUUUGAGGAGUUAAAACUAAAGCUUACGUCAUCUCCUAUCAUACAGGCACCUGAUUGGAGCUUACCUUUUGAAAUAAUGUGCGAUGCCUCAGAUUAUGCUGUUGGAGCUGUACUUGGGCAACGUAAGGACAAGAAGGUGCAUGCUAUUUAUUAUGCUUCUAGAACUUUGAAUGAUGCACAACUCAACUAUGCUACCACUGAGAAAGAAUUGCUAGCUGUAGUCUUUGCUUUGGAAAAAUUUCGAUCAUACUUGUUUGGUACAAAGGUGAUUGUAUUUACUGACCAUGCAGCUCUUAAGUACUUGUUGGCCAAGAAGGAGGCAAAGCCACGACUUAUCCGUUGGAUCUUAUUACUACAAGAGUUUGACAUUGAAAUCAAGGAUAAGAAGGGAUCCGAGAAUGUUGUAGCUGAUCAUCUAAGUCGAUUGGUGAGGGAGGAAGAAGAUGUGCCCCUGACUGAGACAUUUCCGGAUGAACAACUUCUCCAGAUUCAGGUAAGUGCUCUUAAUGAGGUCACACCGUGGUAUGCAGACAUAGUGAACUAUCUGUUUGACAAAAGUCUGCCUACUACACUGACUCGUGCACAAAAAGAUAAGAUUAAACAUGAUUCGAAAUUUUAUGUGUGGGAUGAUCCGUAUCUCUGGAAGCAUUGUCCAGAUUUAAUAAUAAGGAGAUGUGUGCCUGAUAAUGAAUUUGAAUCUGUGUUGAAGUUUUGUCAUAAUUAUGCAUGCGGAGGACAUUUUGGAGGAAAAAGAACUGCACAUAAGGUGUUAGAGUGUGGUUUUUAUUGGCCUACAAUGUUUAAAGAUGCUCAAGAAUUUUGUAGGACUUGCGACAGAUGUCAGCGAGUAGGGAACAUUACUGCUAGGAAUGAGAUGCCCAUGAAUCCGAUGUUUAAUGUUGAAAUAUUUGAUGUUUGGGGUAUCGAUUUCAUGGGUCCAUUUCCGAAGUCUAAUGGUUUUGAAUAUAUACUUUUAGCUGUUGAUUAUGUGUCGAAGUGGGUGGAAGCUAAAGCCACCCGCACUAAUGAUUCGAAAGUGGUUUCAGAUUUCUUGAGGACUAACAUUUUUGCUAGGUUCGGGAUGCCAAGAGUGGUUAUCAGUGAUGGAGGGUCCCAUUUCUGCAAUAGGACCAUCGAGGCACUAUUUCGCAAGUAUAACAUCUCACAUAAAGUUUCUACACCUUAUCAUCCUCAAACCAAUGGACAAGCAGAGGUGUCUAACAGAGAAAUCAAGAAAAUUCUUGAAAAGACUGUAGGAUCUACACGGAAGGAUUGGAGUCAACAGUUAGAUGAUGCACUUUGGGCUUAUAGGACGGCAUACAAGACACCCAUCGGUAUGUCUCCUUAUCGCAUUGUUUAUGGUAAGCCUUGCCAUUUGCCAGUGGAACUUGAACAUAAGGCAUAUUGGGCUAUUAAGAAAUUCAAUAUGAGUCUUGAUGAGGCGGGGUUGCAUCGCAAGUUGCAAUUGUCUAAAUUGGAAGAACUACGCAAUGAGGCUUAUGAGAGUGCUCGUAUUUACAAGGAAAAGACAAAAGUGUUCCAUGACAAGAUGAUUCACAGGAAGAAUUUUGAGGUUGGACAGAAAGUUCUUUUGUAUCAUUCUCGGUUACGUCUUUUUCCUGGAAAACUACGAUCAAGGUGGAUUGGCCCAUUUGAAAUUGUUGAAGUGUUUUCACACGGAGCUGUGAGUAUUAAAAAAGAUGAUGGAAAUGUGUUUAAGGUGAAUGGACAUCGUCUUAAACCGUAUUUGGAGGAUCCUUCUAAUUAUAUCAAGGAGAGUGAGACUCUUAAUGAUGUGAUUAUCUCUGGUGCUUAAAUUCCGCGGCAUGAUGUCUAGCCAAAGACGUUAAAGAAAAGCGCUUCUUGGGAGGCAACCCAAGCAUUUUGUACGGUUAGUUAUAAUUUUAUUUUAAUUAUUAUAGUUCUUAGUAGUAAAAUUAUUAGUAUUAUAUUUGUAGAUUUGAACUUUUUAUUCCCGCAAGGUGCCUUGAUAAUUUUUGUGAAGUGUUUCAGGAAUUUUUAGUGAUGGCUUGGUCUGGAAAUAUUCAGGAAAAGAAAAAAAAAUUGAAGGCAGAUUUUAUUUGUUUCUGGAGCUCAGCUUCAAGUUUGUUUGAGGAACAGAAUCUGAAUACCGCCGUUUUCAUUAACCAAGACGGGCGUUUUCAUCAACUGUCCAGCUCUCGAAAUUAUAUUUUUUUUCCUGACCACUUAAGUUUUUCUCGCGCGCAUCCAUUUCCAAGCAGAUUGGCUGCACCGGCAAUUAUAUUUAAUAAAUCGGGGGUUUUGAGCGUCUGUCCAGCGUGUUCAAAUUCUUCUCCCAAGCGGAGGCAUGUGCAGGCCCAUCAAGCAAAGCCCAGCGUCUCUGAGCUUGGCCCAUGUUUGAGCCCAGCGCCCACUUCAGCUUUCUUGUUACGAUGCAUCAUUCUUCAUGGCUUAUCUUAAUUCAGUACAUGACAUCCAACGGUCCGGCCCAACUUCUGGCCCAUCAAUCCAGAAUCCAGCCCGGUCCAAAUGGUGUUUUUGCUCCUUUCUUUUGAAGCAGCUCACGUGAAUUCUGUCCAGUGUGUAUGCUUAUGCAGGUAGAAAUAAAAGAAUUGUUACCGGAAGGAUUUGAACCCUUGGCCUCAAGCCUGCAAAACAAGCUAAUAACCACUCGGCCAACUACAACACUUGAAACAUAUGUCACUGCACUUCAUUAUAAUUAUUCAGGGCAGUUUUCUUAACUCUUCUUUUAGAUAUUAAUUAAUCUAUUAUAUUAUAUUAUAUUAUAUUAUAUUAUAUAUUAUUCAUCGAGGACAAUGAACCAUCCAAGUGUGGGGAGGUGUUCUCAAGAAUAUUAUUAUUAUUAUUAUUUAUAUAUAUAUUUUUAAAAAUCUAAAAAAAAAAUAUGAAAAUUUUAAAAAAUUUUGUAUAUAAUUAUCUUGUCUCAAAGCAUGUUUAGUGAGUACUUAUACACAUAUUGUAGACUAAUUUGCAUGAUUAAUUCUGAGCAUCAUGUCCAUGAUAAAAAUCAUUCAAUGCAUGAUAAUUCCUUGUGUGUGCUUGCGAAAAUUUUAAAACUUGAGAUGCAUCUUAGUCAAUUUCUAUGAGUAAAGCAUGCUUUCACCUUGUGAGAUUUUGAGCUUAAUUUAUGAUUGAUAAUAUUUUUAUCAAUCUAAUUCUUUUGUUGAGUGGUGUUCAUCAUUUGGCUUGUUGCUCUAGAACUUGGUUUGAACCUUAUUGAGAUGAAAUGUUAUCUGUAUGCAUGAAAAUGAUAAAGGCACUAGGAUUAACCUCAUCUAUCCAAACAGUACCCGAGAAUUAUAUCCUUAGUGAACCCUCUUGAGCUUGUAUCCGUUUUUUUUUUGUUUAUCGCCAAUCUAUGAAUUUUGAGCCUACUUGUUUAUUCUUGUCUUGAUGACUAGUAGAGCAUUUUUUGAUUCAUUGGAGCAGUGGUUAACAUUCAAGUGUGGGGAUUUCUUUGUCAAAGGGUGAAAGUUUGAUGGGAAUCAAGAAAAAAAAAAAAGAGACAUGGAAAAAAAAAACAAAGUAUCAAGUACUCCUUUGAGAUCAAUGAGUGGCAAUUGCAAUGUCAUAUGAAAAGGACGAUCCAUGUGCACGUGCUGGUAUUAAGCACAAUUGUACUAGAAAUUAAGGGGAUCAAAUUAAUUCCUCUUAUUUUUCUUGGUGACUUUUCACUGCCCUUGGUUACUGGAGAAAAACUUGACUUUGAAAAAAAAAAAAAAAAAAAAGAAAAAGAAAAAAAAAUAGCAAGUGGAGAAUGUGUUCAUUGGUGUUACAAUGUGAAAGAGGGGAAGUACGGAAUAUGUACUUGGGCUUUAAUGCUUGUGAAAGCUUGAUCACCUUUUACAUGAUUCAAUUCUCAUGUUGAGUGCUUAAUCAAAAGUGAACAUUUUGCUCUAUUAGUUAUCGAGUUAGCCACUUGUUAGCUUAUUUCUUUGAUAUCCUACCCCCUACCUAAGCCUCGUUACAACCCUUAACAAAGUCCUUUUGAUUUGUGCGUGCAUAUAUACAGAGUAGUGGAGAUUUGGUAGACAAUCAAGUUUAUGACAGUGCAUGUCCAUAUUGAUUGAAUUUGAGUGAAACAUUUACACCCAAACACUUGUGUGAAUUGAGAGUAAUGUGAGAUUUUCUACCCAUAGCAUGCUUACUUAUUGGAUGCGACUUUGAUGUCUAUUUCAUGAUAUUUUUGUCUAUAUAGACACUGUGUGCAUACUUGGAUUGUUGUGUAUAAAUGGUGCAUAAGUGAUAGUACUUGUACUUCCACACAUGUUCAGAUUGUUAUGUAAGUGAGGUUUGCAUAUGUGGAGUACUAUGAUGAUUUCUUUGCUUGAGACUUGGUGAUUAAAAAUAUUUGAUUUUGUGGGUAUAUCUUCUAUAAACCCUCACGAGACAACACUCGUCCUACUAGGGCUGCCUAGGGGUUUAACGGCUUGUUGCAUACGCUCAAUGCAAUCGUGUCAUCUACGAAAGUGAUGUUAGUAGUUAGUAAUAUUUUUAUUCUUUGUUUGCCCGAGGACGUGCAAUAUGCUAAGUGUGGGGAUAUUUGAUAAAGUAUAUAUUUAUAUAUAUUUUAGAUGAUAAUUGUUCUCAUAUUAGUUAUAUUUUGCAUUCAAUUGGACAUAUAUUAAUUAUAUUUUAAUAUCUUAUUGUAGGGAGCAAGGAAUUCUAAAUUGGAGAGGAUUUGGAGCAAAUUAGAAGAAAAUUCGCAACUAUUGGGCUACCCGCAUUCGGAAUAUUGUUUGGGCCAUAUCUUGAGUUUUAGAAGUCGGAUUUGGGCGAUUCAACAGCUCACGCGAAGAUAAUAUAAUUUUCUAUCAUUCUAGAUGGGUCCAGAUAUCAAAAGCCCGCUGAAACAGCCCAGGAACAGGGGAGAAAGUCAACUGCGAAUUUUGACCUUUUGGAAACCCAUUCAGUUUCGGAAUUGCCUUGUAUAUUCCUAUUAGAAUAAAAAUACUUUUGUAUUAGGUUUUAUUAGAUAGAGAAUUACAUACGUGCUACUGAGGAGAGCCACGGAGAAGAAGAGAAAGGAUCGGUAUUCUGUAUCGAUUUCUAUUCUUUUUAUGAUUCUUAUGUGUUUUACUAUGAUUAUGAUUGGCUAAACCUCGAUUGUUGGAGGGCUGUUUUGAAGCCCUAAACUUUAUGACAAUGAUAUUUUGAUUUUCCGAGAUAUGUUCUUGAUUGCACUUAUAUAUACGUCAAUGCUUAUAGAUAUUCUUGAAUUAACUGUGGUAUGUGGACAUCCAAUUCAGUUAUGUGAUUGAUAUAUCUGUAAAGUCAAUUAAUCUUUCUAUGUGGUCCAUGGGAUUAAUUGUAUCAGUGUGUAAUCUGUUUAGCCUUUCUAUGUGGUCCAUGGGGUUAUGCGGAUAGCAGAGCUUGUUUCUAUGUGGGCCAUGACAAGUUCUCUAUAAGUGUCUUUCAGUACAUAUCAUAAGGGUUUCAGAGUAUGUCAUGGGUUUAGUGGUGGAUUAAUAUGCUUUCCAACAUGCUUCUUUAAUUGUUAAAAACACAUUUGCUUUAGUUUAAUAAUUAGUUUAAUUAAUAGAUAAAACAAAAUCCAAUCGUUAUUUCUUUGCAAAAUAUAAGUUAAGUGAGCCCUUGAUUCCUGGCGUUGAACGAUACCCUUACUUAUUCUAUAUUAUUAUCGGCAGAAAAAGGGUUUAAAUUGAGUCACAUCANUGUGCCAAAAUCUGAAAUUUUUGGGUUCAUCUCAAGAUCGAGCAAAACAUUGCUGGCUUUAAGAUCCCUGUGUAUGAUCCGCAAUCUAGAAUCCUGAUGAAGAUAGAGAAGUCCCCUGGCGAUGCCAUUAAUGAUGUUAUACCGAGUAGGCCAGUCAAGCGUGUAUCUUUUCGUCUUAUCUAAUCAAAAGGUCAUUAAAGUUAAUCCAGUGUUGUGAAAACAAGGUGAAAAUUAUAUGAUUCAAAAAUGAAUACAUGAUCACUGUAACAGAGAUGAAGUAUACCAAAUAUGAACGAGUCCAGGCUUUUAUGGGGCAUGUAUUCGUACACCAACAUUCUUUCUCCCUCCUGCACAGAGCAGCCGAGAAGCUUUACAAGAUUUCGGUGCUGAAGUCGAGCAAUGCAUGAAACUUCAUUUUUAAACUCUUUCAGCCCUUGCCUCGAAUCCUUUGAAAGCCUCUUUACAGCUAUUUCUUUUCCAUCGUCGAGCAUACCCUAAAAUAAAUCAAUGAGAAACUGUCAUCUUCUGUAAUGGGAUAAAAUGACAUUUUCUUUCGUCAAUUACUCUAAUCAAGAAGCAAGAUCAUGGACCACGAGCUACACAUCAUAUAAUUUAUGUUUCUGAUUUCGUAAACAGUAAUUUUAUUUGUUGGGUUCUAUACGAUUAAGUUGACUUUUAUCCUUGAUCAGAUGCUGGCAUGACAAUUACCUUAUAGACAGGCCCAAAGCCACCUUCUCCAAGCAUGGAGUAUUUUGAGAAGCCAUUGGUUGCAAUAUCUAAGGUUGUGAAGUCAAACAAUGGCAACUCUAAAUCCUCGGCACCCAUCUCAUUGCUCCCACCGUUUGCAAAAUACGGGUUUUUUAUCCCUGCAAUUUCCAUGUGCAAACUCAUACAGUAAAGUAAAAGCAUAAACUUGAAAAUUCGAAAGAACACUGAAUUAUUGUAAUACCUUCUCUGUGCUUCUUCUUCUUUUUGUUCCUGAUUACCCACAGGCAUACACACAUCAUUGUUACCGUCAUCAGAAUAGCUAUCAAAACGAACCAUACUUUGGAUCUCCCUUUUUUAGCUUCACAAUCAACCAGAAAGUAUAUCAAUUUACUAGAUUCAACAAAAGAGGGAAAGACAUAUAUGUAAUAAGUAGUGCUGAAACAGCUAGUAAAUGAAAACACUCAGAAUACCUAAUUCAGAUGCAGCCAUUCUUAUGUAAAGAUCUUGACCAUUCUCUUUCUGAUAUCUAAUAUCAAUAAGCUCAUUAAACCAUAACAAGCAUCCGCUUCCACUACCUCUAACAUCUGAAUUUGCAUAAGCUGUGCAUGAGCAAUUGGUCAAGCACACUUUCUCGCACUCACCAAGGCUCAUAUUCUUAUCAAACCAAGAACGCUGAGAAUCUGGUAAUUUCAAGCCUGAAUGUUUAACAAAUCCAUCUCCAUUCUGACAACUCAGUUUUUCUUUCCUUGCACAGCCACUAGACCAGUCUGCAGCAUCCCAUCCAUUUUUAUCUUUUGGCUGAAAACCAUUGAAGCACAUACACACAGGAGAAGUGUUAAUGUUACAGCUCUCAUAAGCCCCACAUACGCUAUAAUAAUCACAAUCAUCUAUUGGUGCAGAAGAAUAAGGCUGCCAAAUUUGAGAUUUUUCAAUCCAUACCCAUCUUUGUAUAUGACCAGAUGGAUUCAACACCCUCCUUGUAUAAACUGAACUAUUAACAGCUUCGUAAAUAUAAUAUAAGUCCUUAUCGUUAGAAACAAAAUCAUACUUGUAAAUUGGGUUGGGGCUCAAGUUGGGCGUGCCAGAAAAUCUAAGGCCAUUCCAAGGCCCCGCACGUGAAUCUAUAGCAGAACCUUUCCUUAUCAUUUGCUGUGGAAAUCCAUUACGUUCAAUAUAAUUUGUAUAUUCACCUGGAGAUGGAUCAUCAAGACUCCUCCAAGAAGUGAGGUGUCUUUCUAGCCCAGUUUCCAAAUUCCACCCGAGCUUAGCACCCGGUAAUUCAGUGUCGCCAGGUUUAUCAAAACUUUGCCACAGGUACUUGUCACUCUCACUUUCUUCUCUAAUAACAAGAUUCCCAGAAUCCAGCAGCUGCACGACAGGAUUAUUCACAGAUGCCGUGGAGUUUGAUGACCAAACCACAUCAUCAGAAAUAUUGAGAAUGACAAGAUUUCCGUUGCUGUUAAGUCUCAAGAGAUUUAAUGAAGUAUUAAGAGGAGCUUUCCUAUUGGCAAUCCACACAAUUGUCUUUACGGCUAUCUUCUUGUACCAUAUACCCACAUACCGAUUUGCAGAACUCCCUACAGUUACAAAGCCAAGCUCAAAAUGACCACCAGAUGAGACAAUAGUGCUUCCAUCAUCUCUAAGGAUUUGGUUGGGUCCUAUUAUGUCUCCGGCUGCUGCUACUUUACAGUUUAGUGAAACAGAAAAUAACAAGAUGCAGGAUAAAAACAGCUUCAAAACUGUUGCAGAACUGCAGCCUUCCAUUUACUUUGUACUCCCUCCGUCUCAAUUUAUAGGUCCACUUUGGGAAAAAAAUUUGUCCCAAAAUACUUGUCCCUCUCUUCUUUCAAUACAAAUUUAUCUACAUAUUAAUUGUGACUGUUUUGAAACUCAACAUUAUUCUCAUUUUUCAAUGCACUAAAUCUCUAUAUUUAUUGUGAUUUUUUUGAAAAUCAACUAUAUUCUCACUUUUCAAUGCAUUAAUUAAUGAUACAUGAGAUAAGAUUCUAUCUAACCAACUUUUUUCUUAAUAUGCAUGUUUAUUCCAAAAUGGACCUAUAAAUUGAGACGAAGGGAGUAAUAUUCUUUCACUUGUUGCUCAGAGAGAUAUAAAAAAUCAACCGUUGUCUCCUUUAUUAAUGUCAUUUAUGUAAUAUAAACAUUGAAUUCUAUCGUAUGAAAUUUCCAAGUGUUUCCUUUAUUUAAGACUGCUAUCUGUAUGACUUGAAUCCUACAGCUGACUGUGUAAUAUUAUUGUGAAGUCACCAUGCUGCACUCAGUAAAAUAAUACCUCUAUCAUUUCUCAGCACCAAAACUUAGACCAACAGAUUAAUGUCAUAUACUCCCUCUGUUUUUUUUAUAUGACGCUUUGACUUUUGGCACACAUUUUUAAGUGCUUUGACCGGGUAGUUAAAAAUAUUAUUUUUUGAAUUUUUUUUUCUAAAUAAAAAUUUUGAUUAUAUACUAUUAUUCAGAAAAAGAAAUUUUAAAAAAUAAUAUUUUUAACUACCCGGUCAAAGCAAUUAAAAGUGUGUGCCAAAAGUCAAAGCGUCAUAUAAAAAAAAACAGAGGGAGCAUGUAAUAUGAACAUUGAAUUCUAUCUUAUAUCUUAUGAAAAUUCCAAGUAUUUCCUUUACUUAUGACUGUUAUCUGCAUGACUGAAUCCUGCUGUUGACUGUGUAAUAUUGCAUUCUGAUUCGUCCAAAAACUUCAAGAUCACUUAUUACAAAUUUGAAUCAAACUAAUUAAUCAUCAAUUAACUUAAUUUAUUUAUGCCGUUGAAGUCGAAGAUUAAAAUUAUUGAAAAAUUAUAAUAUAGGAGGAUGGAGCUCAUCCUGGCUUCCAUAUGAUUACUAAAAUUUGCUAUUUGGCUCAUAGUAUCAUGGUAAAAUAUGAUUUUGCUAUAAACCAGUGAUUCAUGUAAUUGUAAAUAGUGAUUUUGAAAUAAGUUUUUUGUUCGCAUGCUAAUUUGGUUGGUAUUUGAGUAAGACUAUGGGGCCGUUUGGGUUAGUUUAAAAAAGUGACUUCUUGCUUAAAUUAAAGAAGUGGAAUAGAAGUGAGAAGUAAAUAAGUUAAUAAAGUGUUUGGAAAAGAAGUAGAAGCUCUGAUAAAGAAGUUAGUAUUCUUAAUUUCUUAAAAGUGCUUCUACUUAUAUAUUUACACAAACGGAUCAAGAAAAGUAGAAGCCAGAAGCAGCUGCUUCUUCUUCCCAAACCGGCCCUAUAUAUGUAUAUUUGAAUAAGUCCUUAUUUUCGUCGAAUAACGCUUGCCAAACAUGCCAAAAAUAUAAAUAACUCACUUAGUGCCUUUUUUUCUUUGAAGUGCACAAAAUAUGGAAAAUUUUUGCUACUAGGGAUCUCAAACAAAUAAUUCGGAUACAAAUCUGUCUAUGUCUGUAUCCAGCUCCGAAAAUUCAUAUCUGUAUCUGGAUCCGAAUCUGAAAUUCGUAUUCAUAUCCGAAUUUUUCAAUGGGUAAUAUCCGAUUCCGGAUCCGAUGGAUACUAUUCGGAUAUGGAUAAUGUUUGAAUCUAAAUUUGUUUUUCAAUUAGAAUUAUUAUGUUUAUAUUUAAAAUUAAAAAAUAUAAUAAAUAAUUAAAAUUAAAAUUUUUAAAAUUGAGUUAAUAUUUAAAUUCAUUAAAGAAUAUUUAUAUUUGUUCAAUGAUUAAUUUUAUUUGUCUAUAAAUAUAAAUUUGUUAUUUUUAAAAUAUUAAACUCAAAUGAUAUUAUGGUAUGUGUCUAUAAUAGUUUUACAACUAAACAAAAUUUGUAUAAACAUAUUAUUUUAUAAGAGUUGAGUUAUAUGGAGUCCGCAUUUAAGUUGGAGUAUUAGAGUACCAAUCAUAAUUUUUAAUUUAGUUAUAUAUAAUAUAAUUGAUUAUCCAGAUUUAUAUAUAACUUAUCAUUUAUGAGUAGUCAUAAACACAAUUAUUAAUUAAUCAUUAACAUAUUUUGAUCUUAAUAAUAAUUAAGAUUAUUAUUCUGGUUAUGAGUUAUAUUGCAGAAUAUUUGUGUCCUCCAAUUUAUAAAAGUACUUCUUCUACUUUUUAAUUUAUGGAAUAAAAAAAAUUAAAAUUAAAAUAACUAAAUUAUAUUUUAUCUAAUUUUGAACUCCAAUACUCUAAUGUUUUGUGAACUCCAUAAAACUUGAACCUGUUUUAUAAAUAAUAGAAAUAUACACACUAUAAUUUCAGAUAUUAUCAGAUAUGAAAUGAAUAUGUCUAUAUUUAUAUUUGUAUCCGGAAUUAUCGGAUACGAAUAAUAUCCACGUUGUCUCAAUUACGGAUAAUAUUCAUUUUAUCUCGAAUACAAAAUACAUAUGUUAGGGCAAAUCCAGCAGUGAUCCAAAGAUCCAAAUUUGGGGCAAAUUACCCCAAAUUCUCCUCCAGCAGUGAUCCAAAAAGUAAUCCAAAUUUGGAUCAGUGAAGAAUACUGAUCCAAAUUUGGAUCACCACUGUUCACUGAUCCAAAUUUGGAUCACCUACUUUAUAAUCAAAUAAUGAUUUUGUUAUUUCAAAAUAGUUUGUGAUUAUUAUUAUAUAAUUAAUAAUAGUUUAUAAUUAAUAAUUAAUAAAAUUAAUGUUUUCGUAAAAACUUAGAAUACUAGGAAAGCAAAUUUCAUUGAAAUUAAAAAAAGAGUACAUACAUAAAGUAAAAUUACAAUAGAAAUGACUAAAAAACAGUACGAUAAAUAAAAUUUUGAUUUAAUCAAACAGAUUAUUUCUGUUUCCUCCGAGAUUAUCAAAAUAUUGUCCGUAGCUAUCAUUUUGGGAUCCUUGAGUUUCAUCUUUUCUAUGAAAUCAACAAGCACGUUAUUUUGUUUAAUAAUAUUAACAAUUAAAUAUAUAAUUUAAAUACUAAAUAAUUUGGAUCAGAAUUUGAGUCAUGCUGGAGUUGGUUAGAAAUUUGGAUCCGAAUUUGAAUCUGAAUCAAUUGGUUUUGGAUUUUUGGAUCAGAACUGCUAGAUAUCGAAUUAUUUGGACUUAUUACUAUCCUUUUUUCCUGAAAACAGACUAGCAUACGUAGAGGCUAUUACUAGACCUUAAUAUUGGUAGACAGUGGUACUUUCAAACCUGUAAGCAAGAGUUGUAUUCUUUUUGUCUAGUAGCAGACGUCUCUUCCUGAGUGUUACGGUGUUACCAAGUUCCACACAUUUUUUCUCCCCAAAAAUCAACCAAGGGGAUGACUUGCAUUUCUGCGUCCUCUAUUGACCGGAUCCUUGUUCACAAAUCUGUAUAUCAACUUCGUCCGCCCAAUAUUCCUGUUUUGUUUUGCAAAAUAUCAAAACUUUUAAAGUGAAAUUAUAAUUGUUGAUGGAGGAAUUUGGUAAUCAACAAAGAUGAGGUUCAUGGCCGGAAUCAAGAUCUGUGACGAUGGUUUUAGCUGCCGGAGUGUGGUGGUUGUGUGUUUUAAGGGGUGGUUGAGAUUAGGGUUUUGAGUUGCCUUCUUGUGCUCUCAACUCAUGAUCCCCUAAUGUGCCUACGUACCCCUAUAUUUAUAGGGGAUCAAGCCAUACGUAGUUCUAUUGAACCAAGACUCUUAUUUUGAUCAAGACUAGGCCUCUUGGGGAUAAGACCAACCUUAAGCCGAUGACUUAUCACUUAGAGUUCUACUCCAGUUAGAAUUAAGCCUUGAGGCCAACUACCUCAGACUCCUAGUCCAACUACAUCACGGAUACGGCAUCAUCUCCACUACGAGAGAUGACACUAACCGCUACUUUUCGUAGCAUGGAGGAGACGUCUGAUAGAGCCGUGACCUAUCUCCACUACGAGAGAUGACACUAACCGCUACUUUUCGUAGCAUGGAGGAGACGUCUGAUAGAGCCGUGACCUAUUCCUUGAGGUGUAGGGACGCGUCCUUACCCCUAGUGAAGGUUCUCACUAAGAGGUAAGACCAUUGAGGAGCCAAGUUAUACGAUCUUCUCAAUCCCCCAAUGAGGGCUAACUCACCAGAAUACAGGAUCCAGACAUAUGAUCGGCCUUCGUGUCACCCCUGAGGGCCCCCGCACGAGGACAACCCGGCAGAUAGCAGGAUUAAGGAUUAUAGAUAACUCCCGGACGUAACCCGGAAACUACCAAAUGAGCCUGAUAACUACCAGAUGAGCCCGGCACUAGUCUUCAUAUCCCUCGGAAGGGUAGGUCUUCGUAUCUCUCGGAAGGGUCGUCAUCGAGACUCACUCAUCCUCACAUACACAAUAUUUACUUGUGGGCACGUCCACGGAGGGCGCGCCCUAAGUCUUCGUUCUUUUGUCUCGCCUGAUUCCCGUUGAAAGCGGUAGUCAAACGUCUCCGCGAACCAAGGCCGCGCCCUCCGGGUCACACCGAGAAGGGCGCGCCUCUCGCAUAAAUCCUAUGGCCAAAUUCGGCCAUAACAAUAAUAUUGAAAUUACUUAAAGCCUGUAGCUGUAAGCUUGUGUUUAAGAGUAGUGAACUCCAAAAAGUAUGGAGACUUUAUGUUAGUAGUAUAAACAGAGAUUCAAGUUGUGACAGAUGGCUUAUAAUUUUACUUGCUUGCUAGAAAAAACACACCACCCUUUUUACUUACUAGAAAAAAAUAUACCAUCUUUUCUGUGCUCUAGACACAUGUAUCCGUUGCAUUAUAAUUUUUUGCAUUAAGAAAUUUGGAUUAUAAUCAUAUCAAUGUAUUAACUUAUCAGGGUUUCUCUACUGUUUAUCCAAAAUCAAGAAUUUUAAUCAAGAUAGAAAAGGGCAGUCAAGUAGUGUAGUUGCGUUUUAUUAGUAGUGCAGCAGUGUAAAUAUCUAUCCAGUGUAUGAUAUAUACAGUGGAGAAAUUGUGAACUAAUGUACGGCUAAUGCACUGGAAAAACGAUAUACUCCCUCCGUCCCACCCAAUUGUUUACCUUGGGUUUGGGCACGGAGGUUAAGAAAUAUGUAUAAAGUAGUGAAAAAGAGGAAGAAAAGUGGGUGAAGUGGUGGGACCCAUCGAUUUUUAAUAUAUAAAAGGGAGAUAGUGGAGUAAAAGUAGUGUGAAAAGGAAGGAAAAGUGAUAAAGUGGUGGGACCCAUUAACUAUUUUGGGAAAGUUUUGUAAUGUAAAGAAAUGGAUGGGACGUCCAAAAGAGGUAACUGUAAAGAACCUGGUGGGACGGAGGGAGUAGAUAAUAAGCCAUGCUUAGGGGCGGUGGACGAGAAAUUUAUGAGGGAAAUUUGAUUUGGAUUUUAAAAUUCAUUCCAUUCACAUGAACUAGUAAAUUUAAUUUAGUAUUCACUAAAUCAUUCCAUUCAUAUGAUCAAAAAUCUCACUACUAUCGCCAUUCUCUCUCAAAUUAGGGUUUUGAGAGUCGACUCCCAAAACUAGCCGUCACUUCUCCAUUCUUCACCUUCAUCCUCUUCAUCCACCAAAUCCUUUUCGCUCUCCCAUCUUCUCCACUAUUUACCAGUUUUUUGUUUUUCAAUAAAAUCGAGUGUUGCUUAAACCUCGAAGAUUCCAAUCGAGUUUUAUUCUCGGAUCUGUUUCGGAUUUGAGUUUGGGCUUGAUUGUUUUCUGAAUAAAUCAGAUCUUUUGAAAUCAAAGGUCCGAUUGUGUUUUCCCGUCUCGCCUUUUGGCGUGUGUUAAUUUAGUACCCAAUUUUUGGUUGGUUCUGCGUUGUUAUAUUUGUGGUUGUUAUGUCUUUCUGUGUUAUCAAUGAGAAUGAUUGUGAUGGGGUUUUGGAAGAUCUAGCAUAUCGCAUCAUUGAUACUUUCGGCAUGUCUAUAGCUGGCUCCCGACAUGUAGAUAGCUGGGGUAUGCUUGGAACAAUGGCGAUCGCAUGUGCUCACCUUUCACAAAUUAUAGUUGUUCGUUAUUCGAGGACUCUUGUUCCUCAUUGCUUAGUUUUUACAACUAAGUCGACUGAACACCACAACAGCCAUGGAACUAUUGUGAAGGUCAAUUGCGAAGCUAUCAUUUUCGAGAUUGAUGAAGGCUGGAUUACUCGAGAAGCCUUUGUAUUCAUUUUCAGUUUCAAGAAUCCUUGGAUUCAGUGUGUUAAGCAGUCUAGAAACAAUGCGGCUAUUUGUUUAGUUCGUUUUAUUGUUUAUCAACCUGAUUGCAUUGUCAGUUGGGGAUUGUCCCGACUAGACUUGUUUUAAUUUAAUGGAACGAAUUUGCAUUUUGUCAAAAAAAAUCAUUCCAUUCAUAUGAACAACGAGAAUUAAUCUUCUGUUACUAAAUAAAUAAGAAAUAUUAGCAUGAACCGGUCUUUGACCAUCAAUCCUGGAGCCAUCAAGCUCUAUUAUAUGCUGUAAAUCUUUGGGGCACUCGGCUUCAGCUUGUCCAAAGGUCACUAGAAUAUGGAAGCAAAAGGAUAAAUCAGGGGUCCAGGAGGCCACUGCUGAGGAUAAGGAUCAUGAAUCUGAAGCUACUGAUAAAGAUAAAGGGGAGAAUGUCAAGGGUGCAGGUGCUGUUGUUAGUAAUAACUCUGAGAAUCCUAGCAUUGAAGUUGACUGUGACAGUCCUCUUGCUGCUUGGAUUGAAAUCAAACGGAAAAAAUCUGGCAAUAUAUCUGGAAACAAAUCUGACAGUUAUACCGAUACUGAAGCAUCACCAUCCCCUCUUGUAACUUUCAAGCAUUUAAAAUUGGUAGAUGAAUUUGCAGCAAUACAGGGUCCUAAAUCUGCUAACUUUCAAGCAUUUAAAAUUGGUAGAUGAAUUUGCAGCAAUACAGGGUCCUAAAUCUGCUAACUUUCAAGCAUUUAAAAUUGGUAGAUGAAUUUGCAGCAAUACAGGGUCCUAAAUCUGCUAAUCCUGGUACGCAAACUAAUUCAGUGAGACUUACUAAAUCUCAAAAGAAGAAGCUUAAGGCUUCAUUGGGGAAUAACUCCCCCUCUCUAUCUUAAUUUUUAUGAUAGAUUUUUGUUCCUACAAUAUCCGUGGGCUGCAUAAUAAAGUGUCUUUUGCAAAAGACUUUUUGAGCGUCAAUAAAUGUGGUCUUGCAGCCCUUUUGGAAACUCAUGUGAAAAAGGAAGACGUUGGUUUCUACUCUUCUGUCAUUGCUCCUAGAUUUAAAUGGUUGUUUAACUAUGAUUUUCACGAUAAUGGGAGAAUUUGGUUUGGUUGGGAUGAGAAUCUGUGGAAAGUCACUUUAGUUGCAUCAUCUGCUCAACAUAUUACUUGUGAGGUUCUGCAAACGGAUGGCCCUGUUCACUGUUUACUUACUAUGGUAUAUGCUUUUAAUGAUGAAGUUUUGAGAAGAUAUCUUUGGGCUGAUUUGGAGUCUUUGCAGCAGAAUUAUAGUGAGAAUAUGUUACCUUGGUGCUUGAUGGGGGAUUUUAACACCUUCAUGUAUUCUUUUGAAACUAAUGGACCUAUGCCUAGAAGGAGUAAUCAUAUUGAGGAAUUUAAGAGAUGCACUACUGAUCUGGGGCUUGUUGACCUGAGAUAUCAAGGCACUAUCUUUACCUGGUGGGAUGGAAAUACUACUGUGCCUGUCAUGAGGAAGUUGGAUAGGGUUCUGGUCAACUCUGAUUGGCUUGCUCGUUAUGAUCUCUCUCUAGCUGAAUUCCUUCCCAGAGGUCUAUCUGAUCAUAAUCCGGCAGUUGUUCAUCUGGGCAUCACUAGAGAUAUCAUCCGUAAACCUUUUCAACUGUUUAAGCAUAUUUUGGAUCAUGAUUUAUUUAUGCAGGUUGUUCAACAGGCCUGGGAUUCUCCUGUUCAGGGAAAUCUGUGGCACAUAUUAAUCACUAAGCUCAAGAGACUAAAAGAUUCUCUUAAAACUCUCAAUAGUGAAGGUGGCAAUCUGCAUGACAAUGUGGUGGCUGCAAGAACUGAACUUCUUGAUUUCCAGAAUGGCCUCCCCUCCAUUCCUUCACAGCCUCAGAGAAUUGAGGAGGGUCUUAAGAGUAAAAAAUUGCAGGAGGCUUUAUUAAUUGAAGAAAAAUUUCUCAAGCAAAAAUCAAAAGUGAGAUGGUUGCAACAUGGUGAUGAGAAUAAUAAAUUCUUUUUUAAUUCUUGCAGAGGCAGGUGGAACUCCAAUAAAUUGUUACAAAUUACUGAUGAUGAGGGCACUGUUCAUAUGGGGCACAGUAACAUUGCUAAUGUAGCAGUGUCUUAUUUUCAGAAGCUUCUUGGCAGCUCCUGCGAUGUUCAGGAGUUCAGUGACUGGCCUGAAAUGCAAGGGAUUAAUAAACUUUCUGAAGGAGAGCAACAUGAGCUGAUCAAUCCAUUUACUACUGCUGAUGUCUUGGCUACCUUUAAAGCAAUGGCCAAGGGUAAAAGUCCAGGCCCUGAUGGCUAUUCUCCUGAAUUUUUUGUGAAAGCCUGGAAGAUUGUAGGACAUGAUACUACUGCUGCAAUCCUUCACUUCUUUGAAACUGGUCAGUUGCCUCGUAUGAUUAACUCUUCUGCUAUUUCUUUGAUUCCCAAACAGUCAAAUGCUUCGCACUUGAGUCAUUAUAGGCCUAUAUCUUGCUGCACAGCCAUAUACAAGUGUAUUGGGAAAUUGAUUGCUCACAGAAUGAGUAAGGUUAUGUGUUCUCUUGUUUCCUUAAAUCAGUGUGCAUUUGUUCCUACAAGAAGUCUAGGUGACAAUGUUUUCCUGGCCCAAGCUUUAUGUAGAAAUUAUCAUCUAAACUAUGGAUCUCCGCGUUUUGCUUGCAAGUUGGAUAUUCGUAAAGCUUUUGACACUCUUAAUUGGGCAUUUAUUCUUCAACUUCUUGCUACUAUGAAUUUUCCUGAGAAAUUUAUCAAGUGGAUAAAAGUAUGCAUUACUUCUUGUAUGUAUUCAAUAAAAGUUAACGCAGCUUUAGAGGGUUAUUUUGCUGCUGCUGCUGGUAUUAGGCAAGGGGACCCUAUCAGUCCUUAUUUGUUUGUUUUGGCUAUGGAAGCUCUUAAUGUUUGCUUUACUAAAGUCAUUGUGGGCUCUAAAUUUUCUUAUCAUUGGCGUUGUGGGGAUUUGAAGCUUACUCAUCUUGUUUUUGCGGAUGAUUUACUUCUUUUCUGCAAAGGUAAUCAGCCCUCUAUUGCUUUGUUGCUUGAAGCCAUAAAUCUGUUCUCUAGCAUUUCUGGCCUAAAGUUAAAUACCGCCAAAUGUGUGUGCUUCUUUGGAAAUGUUUCUACUGAAGUCAAAAAUUAUGCAUUGACUCAGUCUGGUUUCACAGAAGGUAAUUUGCCAAUCACUUAUCUGGGCCUUCCUUUAACCUCUCGUAAUCUGAAUGCUAGAGACUGCAUGCCGUUAAUACACAAAAUUUGCAAGCGUGUUGAUUUAUGGACCUGUAAAUUUUUGAGCCAAGCUGGUAGGCUCCAACUGAUCAAAUCAAUCUUGUUUGGUAUUCAAGGUUUCUGGGUUAGAUUUUUGUUUUUACCAACUCAAGUCGAAAAAAGAAUCCAGAGCAUCCUUGCUAGAUUCUUUUGAAAGAGCGAUUGUGGACCAGGGACCGUAUGUUAUCCUUUUGCAUGAAUAUUGAUCGUGGCUGCCUUCUUUGUACAGGAUUCUUUGAGACUCAUUCUCACUUGUUUUGUGAAUGUCAUUAUUCUAGAACUAUUUUGAAUGCAUGUCCUAUUGCUGUUAGCACUGUCUGGACAGAUAUUUGUGCCGGAGGAAUUCUGGUGAACCAAGUGGAUACUAUUCGUGAUAAUAUUGCAUACCUGUAUGUGGCAGUAGCUUAUUAUCACAUUUGGGCUGAAAGGAAUCUACGUCUUCAUAGUCCUGGCCAAUAUAAUCAGCCUAUUAUUCUAAUCAGAAGAAUCAAGGAUGUUGUCAGAAGCAAGUUGGUUGUUAGUAAAUUAUUUACUCGGUUUGCUAGACAAGAUUUUACUUUAAAUAGUUUUCUCUAGUUCUUCUGUUAUCUAGUCUUUGGCUAUUUGAAUCUAGGAGUGUUAGCUUUUAUCUCUUUGUGACAGUUUGAGUUUCUCCCGCGGGGUAUGCCCCUAGAUUUGUAAUCUGUUUGUUUCUUUAAUAUAUUUAAUUAGCAAAAAAAAAAGAUUUAAAAUACGGUUUUUCAAAAAAAAACGGUUUUUCUAUGAUGUGCCCAUGGGCACAUGCUAAGCGCGGAAAUUUUUGUAUUUGGAGCAUUUUCAUUGGCUCCUACUUCUUAAUAAUGGUGGACCCCCUGCAAAUACACCAACCACACCAAUAAAAAUGCUCCAAAUACAAAAAUUUCCGCGCUUAGUAUGUGCCCAUGGGCACACACUAGACAAACCCUUUAAAAUAUAAUCAAAGUUAAUGCUAGAAUCUAACAAUGAACUUUGGGAAGGAAACAGUGCUUGGUUUGAGAGGGAAAUCAGUUGCUUCAAUCAAGAGUUUGUUGAUACAAUCAAUUACAACCAGAAUCUCAUGAAAAUCACUUGGAAUAAGAAAUUGAUUUAUUUGCUGUACUGUAAAUAUAAACAUAUAAUAAUGCUAUAAUAACAAGUGUUGUAAAAAGCGCAUUAAGCGGCCGUCUAAGCGGGCGCUUAAGCGGAAUCGGAGAGUAAAACGCUUCGAUUUUACAUUAAGCGGGAGAUUAAGCGUUUUUUAACAUUAAGCGGCCUGUUAAGCGGAUUAAGCGGACAUUAAGCGGAUUAAGCGGUCAGAAUGAUUUUGACUUGCUAAUUUUUUAUAUAUAAAUACAAAUAUUUUUUUAUAAAUAUUAUGAAAAUUAUAAUAAAAAAUUAAAAAUAUCUUUUUUAUCAAAAACAUUUUAUGUUUAAAUUCUUAUUACUUAAUUAUUUUAUAAUUUUAAUUAUAUAUAUAAUAUUAUUAUAUAUAAAAUUUUAAAUAUAUAUUAUUAAUCCGCUUAAUCACCCGCUUAAAAUUCCGCUUAAGCGUCCGCUUAUCCGCUUAAGCGCUACAAGGUCACCUCACCGCUUAGGACCGAUUUGCGCUUUUUACAACACUGAUAAUAACACAUUGUUUCUCUCUUUCGUUUUGGACUUUGAAAUAUUAAAAGCGGCAAUCAUAAUUUAUAUUUUUUAAUAGAAUAAAAACGAGAAAUAAUAUGUUUAUCUAGGAGCUAUAGCUGUCACACUGCAGUAGUUGGAUGAACACGACGAAGAAUCUCCUUCGUGCACAUUCCUCUCGAUGAAAAAUCCAGGUUGCUUAGGUUGAGGCAGGGGAAGCUCACUGGUUAGCAUUAGCACCACCGUUGCCAUGGUUGGCCUAUCCGCCGGACAUUGUUGCACACAUAAUAACCCUAUUUGAAUAGCUCGAAACACUUCGUAUUGAUGUUCACGGCUUAAAUCUUUAAUAACCUCAUCUACUAGGUCCAACACAUUUCCAUCUUUAUAAGUUCUAUAUGCCUAAAACAAUUAAAAAAUUAGCGAAGAGUUCAAUUAGUAAAACAUAAGUAAUGACAAUUUAACUACUUUAUAUGAUGGUCUAGAAACUUACAUGUCCGAGAAGGUUAAGAUUGUGAUCUAGAUGAGUAAAAUUUUUGUUUCUUUUUCCAUUCACCAUCUCUAAAAGGAGUACCCCAAAGCUAUAAACAUCAGAUUUCACCGAAAAUAUGCCAUCCGUUGCAUACUCAGGAGACAUGUAACCACUGCAAGAAAACACCUGAUGUAUCACAUUUUUGCUAAUAGAAACAUCAUUCCUUAGAAUGGUAGAUAUUCAUACUAUGUUCCAACUACUCUGGUUGUAUUGGCUCCUGUUUCCGUCUCUCCGCAGAUCCUUGCUGUGCCAAAAUCUGAAAUUUUUGGGUUCAUCUCAAGAUCGAGCAAAACAUUGCUGGCUUUAAGAUCCCUGUGUAUGAUCCGCAAUCUAGAAUCCUGAUGAAGAUAGAGAAGUCCCCUGGCGAUGCCAUUAAUGAUGUUAUACCGAGUAGGCCAGUCAAGCGUGUAUCUUUUCGUCUUAUCUAAUCAAAAGGUCAUCAAAGUUAAUCCAGUGGUGUUAGAAACAAGGUGAAAAAUUUGCUAGUACACGUAAAAGAUAUGAUUCAAAAAUGAAUACAUCAUUAUUACAGAGAAAAAGAAUACCAAAUAUGAACGAGUCCAGGCUUUUAUUGGGCAUGUAUUCGUACACCAACAUUCUUUCUCCCUCCUGCACAGAGCAGCCGAGAAGCUUCACAAGGUUUCGGUGCUGAAGUCGAGCAAUGCAUGAUACUUCAUUUUUAAACUCUUUCAACCCUUGCCUCGAAUCCUUUGAAAGCCUCUUUACAGCUAUUUCUUUUCCAUCGUCGAGCAUACCCUAAAAUAAAUCACUGAGAAACUUUAAUCCUCUGUAAUGGGAUAAAAUGACAUUUUAUUUCCUCAAUUACUCUAAUCAAGAAGCAAGACCAUGAACCACAAUGCGUUCAACUCAUAUAAUUUAUGUUACUGAUUCAAGAGUAACUUUAUUUUCUCUCAAAAAAAAAAAAAACAGUAACUUUAUUUGUUGGGACUACGGAUAAAAUGCUGCCAUGAGAAUUACCUUAUAGACAGGCCCAAAGCCACCUUCUCCAAGCAUGGAGUACUUUGAGAAGCCAUUGGUUGCAAUAUCUAAGGUUGUGAAGUCAAACAAUGGCAACUCUAAAUCCUCGGCACCCAUCUCAUUGCUCCCACAGUUUUCAAAAUACGGGUUUGUUAUCCCUGCAUUUUCUAUGUGCAAACUCAUACAGAAAAGUAAAAGCAUAAACUUGAAAAUUUGAAAGAGAACAUUGAAUUGUUGUAAUACCUUCUGCGUGCUUCUUCUUCUUCUUCUUUUUGUUCCUGAUUACCCACAGGCAUACACACAUCAUUGUUACCGUCAUCAGUAUAGGUAUCCAUACGAACCAUACUUUUGAUCUCCCCUUUUUAGCUUCAUAAUUAACACUCGGAAUACCUAAUUCAGAUGCAGCCAUUCUGAAGUAAAGAUCUUGACCAUUCUCUUUCUCAUCUCUAAUAUCAAUAAGCUCAUUAAACCAUAACAAGCAUCCGCUUCCACUGCCUCUAACAUCUGUAUUUGCGUAAGCUGUGCAUGAGCAAUUGCUCAAGCACAGUUUCUCGCACUCACCAAGGCUCAUAUUCUUAUCAAACCAAGAACGCUGAGUAUCUGGUAAUUUCAAGCCUGAAUGUUUCACAAAACCAUCUCCAUUCACACAACUCAGAUUUUCUUUCCUUGCACAGCCACUAGACCAGUCUGCAGCAUCCCAUCCUUUUUUAUCUCUUGGCUGAAAACCAUUGAAGCACAUGCACACAGGAGACUUGUCAAUGUUACAGCUCCCAUAAGCUCCACAUACCCUAUAAUGAUCACAAUCAUCUGGUCCAGAAUGAUAAACCUGCCAAAUUUGAGAUUUUUCGAUCCAUACCCAUCUUUGUAUAUGACCAGAUGGAUUCAACACCCUCCUUGUAUAAACUGAACUAUUAACAGCUUCGUAAUGAUAAUAUAAAUCCUUAUCAUUAGAAACAAAAGCAUACGUGUAAAUUUGAUUGGGGUUCAAGUUGGGCGUGCCAGAAAAUCUAAGGCCAUUCCAAGGCCCCGCACGUGAAUCUAUAGCAGAACCUUUCCUUAUCAUUUGCUGUGGAAAUCCAUUACGUUCAAUAUAAUUUGUAUAUUCACCUGGAGAUGGAUCAUCAAGACUCUUCCAAGAAGUGAGGUAUCUUUCAAGCCCAGUUUCCAAAUUCCACCCAAGCUUAGCACCCGGUAAUUGAGUGUCGCCUGGUUUAUCAAAACUUUGCCACAGGUAUUUAUCACUCUCACUUUCAUCUCUAAUGACAAGAUUCCCAGAAUCCAGCAGCUGCACGACAGGAUUAUUCACAGAUGCCGUGGAGUUUGAUGACCAAACCACAUCAUCAGAAGCAUUGAGAAUGACAAGAUUUCCAUUGCUGUUAAGUCUCAAGAGAUUUGAUGAAGUAUUAAGAGGAGCUUCUCUAUUGGCAAUCCACACAAUUGUCUUUACGGCUAUCUUCUUGUACCAGAUACCCACGUACCGAUUUGCAGAACUCCCAACAGUUACAAAGCCAAGCUCAAAAUGACCACCAGAUGAAACAAUAGUGCUUCCAUCAUCUCUAAGGAUUUGUUCUGGUCCUAUAAUGUCUCCGGCUGCUGCUACUUUACAGUUUAGCGAAACAGAAAAUGACAAAAUGCAGAAUAAAAAAAACUUCAGAACUGUUGUAGAGCUGCAGCCUUCCAUCAACUCUGUUAUAUUAUUUCAGUUGUUGCUCAGAGAGAUGUAAAAAAUCAACAGUGUUCCCCUUCCUUAAUGUCAUGUAUGCGAAUUAUGUACCACACACCUUUCCAUCAAAAUCUGUAAUAUGAACAUGAAUUCUAUCUUAUGAAAUUUCCAAGUCUUUCCUUUAUUUAUGACUGCUAUCUGCGUGACUUGUAUCCUAUAUGUAAUGUCCAUUUUGAGAUUAAAAACUUAAAAUACUAGUAUUAUUAUUAAUUUAAUAUUAUCCUUAAUAAUGUGUCAGUUUAUUUAGAGGAAGCAAAGCUGCUUCUGUCUUUUGGUUUUCUUAACCCGUUUGUGUAAAUAUAUAGAAACUCUUUUAACAAGUUAAGAAUGUUAGCUUCUCUCUGGUUUCUAUUUUUUUUUCCAAACACUUUAUUAACUUAUUUAGUUUUUACUUGUAAUCCACUUCUUUACUUUAAACAAGAUGUCACUUUUUUUAAACUUAUCCAAACAGCCCUAUUACAUUGCAUAAUUUUGCGUAGGACUGAACAUGAUUUAGGCAAAACCUAUUAACUAAGUUUAUAAGUAUUGUGUUAGAAUAUGAUCCUGCUAAGCCCUCCUCCUAACACCUUCAGUUUUUAGGAGAAUUGGUCACUUAUCAGAGUUUAGGCUUGCGAGCAAUAUUCUCAUAAAUUAUAAGGACACGAAGGCAAGUUUAUGUCCCUUUCGAGUGAGGUUAGAAUAUGAUCCUGCUAAACCCUCCUCCCUAACAUCUUGAGUUUUUAGGAGAAUUGGAUUGAUUACUAAACAUGUUGUUUAAAUAUUAUUCAUUAAUAUCAACAGAGGAUGUCUAUAGAAGAUUUCAGAUGUGCCAGUGAGUAUUCGAGGGCUGAGUUGCUUUUCUUGUCUACUGUACGCUUUAUGUUAUAAAUAUACCAACUUGAACAAAUCAUUGCAACUAUGGCCAACCUAAUUGUUCAGUUUUUGUCAACCUUUGAUCCGAAGCAUUACGUCAAAACACCAUAAGGUUCCAUGCACCCUCUGCAUCAAUUCCCUCUCCUUCUCUUCGUUCUUGCCGAUUAGAAAGAUUCCGGCAGCCUCUCCCCCACCUCUCUCCUUCCCCUAUUUCUUUCCCCUCUCUCUCCCUCACGGUGCAAUCACAGCCACUAACGAGGGCUCCCCCAGUCACUUUCAGAGGAAAACGAACUUCGUAAGUAAAAAUGAAAAUACAAAUUUAAGUUGUGUUUUGGAGUUUUUAUAUAAUGACCGUAUAACAUUAGAAUUAUCCAAUAUUAAAAUAUCAAAAUUUGUUUAUCAUAUAUUUUUAUUUCAUUUCAUUAUUAUUAUACUGUUAUAAAAACACUUUCAUUUUAAUCACGAUUUGUAAUAUACUCCCAUCAUCUCAAAAAGAUUGAAUUUGUUUGAUUUUCACCGAGAUUAAGAAAAAUAUAAUGAAAAAGAAUAAAUUUAGUUGAAGAGUAGGUAAAGUAGUGAGACCUAUCAAAAUUUAAUAAUAGAUUUGAGAUAGCGGAGGAAAAUAGUGGUUGCAAUAGUGUUUAUUUAAUUAAUAAAAAGAGAGUAUAAAAUAGAGAAGUCAAUGGUUGAUAGUAAAAAGUAGUGUUUAAAAAUAUUAAAUAUAAUAGAUUCAUUAUUUUUGGGACAUCACAUAAAAGAAUAAGGGUCAAAUAAAAUGGAACGGACUGCUGAACGCCGCUCUGUGUUUUCGCAUCGAGAAUUAUUUGCACCGGUUUUGCUUGGUGGGCGGGGAAUGCUCAGCUGAUUCACCAACAAAAUUACACGUAGCCACGUAGGUGGCUUAUUAAUAUUAGCAUGCACCUCCGCAUCAAUUCAAUUGUAAAUGUUGAUAGAGGAAUUUGGUAAUCAACAAAGAUGAGGUUCAUGGCCGGAAUCAAGAUCUAUGACGGUGGUUUUGGUCGUCGGAGUGCGGUGGUUGUGUGUUUUAGGGGGUGGCUGAGAUUAGGGUUUUGAGUUGGUCUCACGUGCUCGCAACUCAUGAUCCCCUAAUGUGCCUACGUACCCCUAUAUUUAUAGGGGAUCAAGCCGUACGUAGUUCUAUUACCAAGACUCCUAGUUUGAUCAGGACUAGGCCUCUUGGGGAUAAGACCAACCCUGAGGUGGUGACUUAUCUCUUAGACGUCCAACGCCUUCAGAGUCCUACUCCAGUUAGAAUUAAGCCUUGAGGCCAACUACCUCAGACUCCUAGUCCAAGUACAUCACGGAUACGGCAUCAUCCCCACUACGAGAGAUGACACUAACCGCUACUUUUCGUAGCAUGGAGGAGACAUCCUGGUAGAGCCGUGACCAAUUCCCUGAGGUGUAGGGCGCGCCCUUCCCCCUUAGUGAAGGUUCUCACUAAGAGGUAAGACAAGUAAGGAGCCAAGUUACACGAUCGUCUCAGUCCCCCAAUGAGGGCUAACUCACCAGAAUACAGGACCCAGACAUAUGAUCGGCCUUCAUGUCACCCCUGAGGGCCUUCUACAACCGUGAUCACCCCAAGCCCCCGCACGAGGACAACCCGGCAGAUAGCAGGAUUGGGGAUUAUAGAUCACGCCCGGUCGUAACCCGGGAACUACCAGAUGAGCCUGAUAACUUCCAGAUGAGCCUGGCACUAGUCUUCAUAUCCCUCAGAAGGGUCGUCAUAUACCCCGGAGGGGUAGGUCUUCAUAUCCCCCGGAGGGGGGGGGUCUUCUUCUCCCUCGGAAAGGGUAAGUCUUCGUAUCCCUCGGAAGGGUAAGUCUUCGUAUCCCUCGGAAGGGUCAUCACUGAGACUCACUCAUCCUCUCACUCAAUACAUUUACAUGUGGGUGCGACCCCUGAGGGCGCGCCCUUCAUCUUCGUUGUCUUGUCCCAUGAGUCGUCCCAACAACAGGUCAGACCUGUCUUCCAAUAUCCGAAGGCCGCGCCCAGGGGAUCGUCCCGCUAAGGGCGCGCCCUUGGUCUUCAUCUUAUGGUCCAUUUCUUACAAGGACCGUGACCCUCGGUCACCUCCGAAGAGGGCGCGCCCUCCUCCAACACCAUGACCAAUUUUGGUCAUAACAGGGUGGACGGAGGGUCGGUCGCGUCUUUCCAUCAACAUUCUCAAGUGAGGCGUCCCUCCUUGUGACUCGGAGGACGCGUCUUCUUCACACAACAUCGGCGGAUUAGUCACGCCACGGAGGGCUGCGCCCUUCCGUUCAGACUAGUCUCUUCAAGGGUCGGUCGCGUCCUUCCUUUGUAUGCAGAAGGGCGCGUCCCGAUACCUCAUAUAGGACUCUUAGUCCAAUUCAUGUCUUACUUAGUUAAACCAAGUACAUACCCGGCCCAAUAAGGACCUAGCCAAAUUUGGCUAUAACAAGUACUCCCCAAAUUUUCUUGAUAUUGGAGAUAUCAGGGGAAUUUUUACUCCAUACCACACAUACUCUUCCGAGAGCGCGUCCGCGCAUAGAGGCGCGACGUAAGCCACUUCUAUUCCUCGACAUUUCAAGUUGCAGGCUGUGCACAAGCCUUGCAAGUAUAUAAUGUCGGUGUCUUUGAUCAUUUAGCAAAGUUGCUAAGAAUGAGGCUGGCGCAUCUUUAUGACGUGUUCAUAAGUAAUGAGCAAUCUUUAUGUAGAUAAAAGAAAACAGGGGGCGCGGCCUAUCUGUCGUUGACAGUGGCGCAGCUUCGCUUAUUCCUUCCAAAGGACACAUUCAACCAUAACAUUCGCGCCAAUGAACUUCAACAAAAGAAGGGCGCGUCUUCGCGAUGCGAAGGUUGGUGGCUGUUUUUCAGCCUUAGUGUGUCCAUGGUACCUAGGAACAGUAAAUAUAAGGCACGACUUACAGAAUGGCGCCGCCUUGUUAUAACAUGACCCCUUUUCUAUCUUUUUUAAAGAAUUGCCUAAGCAGAGGGCGCGGCUGAAGGCGCUACCUUGCAAUAUUUCUUUUCUUCCAAGGACUGUAUAAGCAGAGGGCGCAGCCUUACUUGUGAUGUGGGCUCUUUUGAUCUUUUCCAAGGAUUAAGUAGAGGGCGCGGCCUUUGGCGCAGCCUUACUUUUUCACGCGUGAAUCACUUGUUUAAGAAAUUCAAAAGAACCACUCCCCAGUCCAUACAUCAUCCCAUAUGGGGCAUCACGAAUCUUAUCGUGGUUUAAGAAACUCCGGUGCAUCGCACGGGUCCCAGAGCUCAUAGCUCAAUGGGGAAUUAAUAGUAUAAACUGUUAUCUGGAGCAUAUCAUGGAUAUGUAAGAUCCAGAGCGUAUCAUGGAUGCGCAAGUAUAAUGUCCAGAGCGUAUCAUGGAUGCGCAAAUAUAGUAUCCGGAGCGUAUCAUGGAUAUGUAAAUAAUCAUAGCAUCCAGAGUAGAUCGUGGAUGACAUCCAGAGCGUAUCAUGGAUGGUUAAAAUUCAUAGUACCCAGAGCUGGUCAUGGAUAAUUUGGUAACCUUUGAAAGGCCUUAAGUGUACCUUGAUCAAAGACCUUGCAGGUAUCAUGCUACGUUCCUGUAGAACGGAGGGCGCGCCCUCAUCAAGAUGGACAGCUCCUUUAGCAUGUUGGACUUGACCUGCACUUUAUCAUGUAUACGACUUAAUACUGAUGGUCAGUGUUACCUCAUGACGCGCCCUGUUAGGGGAAGGCGCGUCCUCCCAAAUUAUCAACCCUGGAAACAUGACUUUGGAACUCGGGGUGCGUCCAACUGGGAGGAGGCGCGUCUUUGAAACAUCUCCCUUCUCAACCUUACUAUCCUGGGGGCGCGUCCUCAUGCGCUUCCUCAAGUGAUGAGUACUUCCGAGAGGGCGCGCCCUAGGGAGGGACGUGACCUCUUCAAGACUAGUGAGCUCCUUCCUGAGUAUGUUUGUCUUCACAAAAUAUCAUAUGAAGCAAUUAAUGCAUCAGACAUACCAGAGGGCGCGCCUUGUCAGAGGGAGGCGCGCAAUUCGUUCUGAUAGAAUACCAGUUGGAUAUGGCGUACCCCUUUGUGACAGCGCGCCUUGUUAGAGGAAGGCGCGACUAUUCCUCACGGCGAAGAGGUGUAUUCCUCAUACAGGUAACACCAUAUUACCUGUGACUUUAUACAUGCAGUAGUCUUAGGGAACUAAAUACUGAGGGGGUUUAGGAUUUACCUGAGGGCGCGCCCGGUCAGGGGAAGGCGCGCACCCUUACGACUUUUCGAGCUAGGUUCCAUCUCAAUAGCUCGCCCUUCGUAACCUUCCCGUUCAUAUCAUCACACGUGGUCAGGCCUCCAACAUGCGGUCGAACACCACGUUACCUGUAGUUUUCAAUGUGCCAUACUUCUAGAGAAUGCAGUAACGAGGAGGUUUAGAGUAGAGUUUACCUGGAGGCGCGCUCUGUCGGGGGGAGGCGCGCCCUUUGCAACUUUUCAAGGUUCGCUCCAUUUGAAUAACUCCCCGCUCAUAACUUUCCCUUUCAUAUCAUCAUCUGCGGUCAGGCCUUCAACACGUGCCUCUCGGGAACCUCGAAUCAUUUGCUUUGGAGAGGGUACGCUCCUUCAGAAAACCUUUUUGGCUUCCAAGGAGGCGAUCUCCUUCCCGCAAAGGCUCAAACAACAACAGACUCGUUAGUAAUAACAUGUGAGAACGUUGUGGGAAUCUUACCUGGAAGUGCGCCCUGUCAGGGGGAGGCGCGACUUCUUCGGAGGUGUCAGGGAAUGCAUUCCUCACGGUGGUAGUCGGACACCAGAUCUCCUGGAGGUGUACCCUGUCAGGGGGAGGCGUACCCUUCGAACGCGCCGGGUCUCCAAAAAUUGCAUCCUUCGACGACUCCCCGGUCCAGAAAACCUUGCUCGCAAAUUUAUUUACCUCCUAGAAUUUCGUUGAUGAUCGUCCUCCUUCAAACUCCUGAUGGAGAUAUCAUCCUCUUCUGGAGAAUUAGAUCAGGGUCUCCUCCUCUCCUGUGCUCUAGCCAUCGCCCUGCCGGAAAACGCUCCUCCUCUACGUGCGAAUCUCCGUCGUGUGACAUCUCUUCCUCCUAAGAUGAAGAUCUUGAAUAGCCCCUCCUUCUAGCGCCAAUUUGUUGAUAGAGGAAUUUGGUAAUCAACAAAGAUGAGGUUCAUGGCCGGAAUCAAGAUCCGUGACGGUGGUUUUGGUCGCCGGAGAGUGGUGGUUGUUUGUUUUAGGGGGUGGCUGAGAUUAGGGUUUUGAGUUGGUCUCACGUGCUCUCAACUCAUGAUCCCCCAAUGUGCCUACGUACCCCCGACCCCUGAGGGCGCGCCCUUCANNNNNNNNNNNNNNNNNNNNNNNNNNNNNNNNNNNNNNNNNNNNNNNNNNNNNNNNNNNNNNNNNNNNNNNNNNNNNNNNNNNNNNNNNNNNNNNNNNNNNNNNNNNNNNNNNNNNNNNNNNNNNNNNNNNNNNNNNNNNNNNNNNNNNNNNNNNNNNNNNNNNNNNNNNNNNNNNNNNNNNNNNNNNNNNNNNNNNNNNNNNNNNNNNNNNNNNNNNNNNNNNNNNNNNNNNNNNNNNNNNNNNNNNNNNNNNNNNNNNNNNNNNNNNNNNNNNNNNNNNNNNNNNNNNNNNNNNNNNNNNNNNNNNNNNNNNNNNNNNNNNNNNNNNNNNNNNNNNNNNNNNNNNNNNNNNNNNNNNNNNNNNNNNNNNNNNNNNNNNNNNNNNNNNNNNNNNNNNNNNNNNNNNNNNNNNNNNNNNNNNNNNNNNNNNNNNNNNNNNNNNNNNNNNNNNNNNNNNNNNNNNNNNNNNNNNNNNNNNNNNNNNNNNNNNNNNNNNNNNNNNNNNNNNNNNNNNNNNNNNNNNNNNNNNNNNNNNNNNNNNNNNNNNNNNNNNNNNNNNNNNNNNNNNNNNNNNNNNNNNNNNNNNNNNNNNNNNNNNNNNNNNNNNNNNNNNNNNNNNNNNNNNNNNNNNNNNNNNNNNNNNNNNNNNNNNNNNNNNNNNNNNNNNNNNNNNNNNNNNNNNNNNNNNNNNNNNNNNNNNNNNNNNNNNNNNNNNNNNNNNNNNNNNNNNNNNNNNNNNNNNNNNNNNNNNNNNNNNNNNNNNNNNNNNNNNNNNNNNNNNNNNNNNNNNNNNNNNNNNNNNNNNNNNNNNNNNNNNNNNNNNNNNNNNNNNNNNNNNNNNNNNNNNNNNNNNNNNNNNNNNNNNNNNNNNNNNNNNNNNNNNNNNNNNNNNNNNNNNNNNNNNNNNNNNNNNNNNNNNNNNNNNNNNNNNNNNNNNNNNNNNNNNNNNNNNNNNNNNNNNNNNNNNNNNNNNNNNNNNNNNNNNNNNNNNNNNNNNNNNNNNNNNNNNNNNNNNNNNNNNNNNNNNNNNNNNNNNNNNNNNNNNNNNNNNNNNNNNNNNNNNNNNNAAGCCGUACGUAGUUCUAUUACCAUGACUCCUAGUUUGAUCAGGACUAGGCCUCUUGGGGAUAAGACCAACCCUGAGGUGGUGACUUAUCUCUUAGACGUCCAACGCCUUCAGAGUCCUACUCCAGUUAGAAUUAAGCCUUGAGGCCAACUACCUCAGACUCCUAGUCCAAGUACAUCACGGAUACGGCAUCAUCCCCACUACGAGAGAUGACACUAACCGCUACUUUUCGUAGCAUGGAGGAGACAUCUUGGUAGAGUCGUGACCAAUUUCCUGAGGUGUAGGGCGCGCCCUUCCCCCUUAGUGAAGGUUCUCACUAAGAGGUAAGACAAGUAAGGAGCCAAGUUACACGAUCGUCUCAGUCCCCCAAUGAGGGCUAACUCACCAGAAUACAGGACCCAGACAUAUGAUCGGCCUUCAUGUCACCCCUGAGGGCCUUCUACAAUCAUGAUCACCCCAAGCCCUCGCACGAGGACAACCCGGCAGAUAGCAGGAUUGGGGAUUAUAGAUCACGCCCGGUCGUAACCCGGGAACUACCAGAUGAGUCUGAUAACUUCCAGAUGAGCCUGGCACUAGUCUUCAUAUCCCUCGGAAGGGUAGGUCUUCGUAUCCCUUGGNNNNNNNNNNNNNNNNNNNNNNNNNNNNNNNNNNNNNNNNNNNNNNNNNNNNNNNNNNNNNNNNNNNNNNNNNNNNNNNNNNNNNNNNNNNNNNNNNNNNNNNNNNNNNNNNNNNNNNNNNNNNNNNNNNNNNNNNNNNNNNNNNNNNNNNNNNNNNNNNNNNNNNNNNNNNNNNNNNNNNNNNNNNNNNNNNNNNNNNNNNNNNNNNNNNNNNNNNNNNNNNNNNNNNNNNNNNNNNNNNNNNNNNNNNNNNNNNNNNNNNNNNNNNNNNNNNNNNNNNNNNNNNNNNNNNNNNNNNNNNNNNNNNNNNNNNNNNNNNNNNNNNNNNNNNNNNNNNNNNNNNNNNNNNNNNNNNNNNNNNNNNNNNNNNNNNNNNNNNNNNNNNNNNNNNNNNNNNNNNNNNNNNNNNNNNNNNNNNNNNNNNNNNNNNNNNNNNNNNNNNNNNNNNNNNNNNNNNNNNNNNNNNNNNNNNNNNNNNNNNNNNNNNNNNNNNNNNNNNNNNNNNNNNNNNNNNNNNNNNNNNNNNNNNNNNNNNNNNNNNNNNNNNNNNNNNNNNNNNNNNNNNNNNNNNNNNNNNNNNNNNNNNNNNNNNNNNNNNNNNNNNNNNNNNNNNNNNNNNNNNNNNNNNNNNNNNNNNNNNNNNNNNNNNNNNNNNNNNNNNNNNNNNNNNNNNNNNNNNNNNNNNNNNNNNNNNNNNNNNNNNNNNNNNNNNNNNNNNNNNNNNNNNNNNNNNNNNCUUUAUUAGAUUUGAACUACUAAGAUGACCUAUACCUGAGUUGCCGCGGCGGCGGCGCCUGUAAAUACCAUAGUAUUUGAUUUUUGUUUCUUGAGAUAUACUCCCUCCUUCCCAUUUUAAUUGUCCACUUUGCUCAAAUCACACAUAUUAUCUCUUCCUCUUCGAGAUUUCACCUAGUCCCCUCCUUCUAGCGCCAAAUUGUUGAUAGAGGAAUUUGGUGAAUCAACAAACGUGAGGUUCGUUGCCGGAAUAAGGUGUUUCACGGUGAUUGUAUGACAGAGAUUCGCCGUGGGCGGUGGUUUUAAGUGUUUGAGGGUGGCUGAGAUCAAGGGAAUAUAUUUCUGCUCUCGUUCUCACAACUCUCGAUAUAUCCCCCUGAUGUGCCUACGUACCCCUUUAUAUAGGGGAUCAAGCCGUACGUAGUUCUAUGAAACCAGGAGUCCUAGUUUGAUCAGGACUAGGCCUCUUGGCGAUAAGGUCGGAGAUAGGCCGAAGGCCCAUCCUGGAGGGUCCUACUCCUGUUAGAGUUAGUCUUGAGUAUGACCACCUCAGACUCCUAAUCCAAAUAGAUCACGGAUUCAACGAUAUCUCCACUACGAGAGAUAGCAUCUACCACGACUCUUAUGGAGAAGUUAUCUGGGCAAGCCAUGACCAACCCCUCAAGGUGCAGGGACAUGUCCUCACCUCCCGGUGAGGUCUUUAUCUUCAGACAAGGUAGACAAGGAGCCAAAUUACACGAUCGUCUCAAUCCCCCGAUGAGGGCUAACUCACCAGAAUACAGGAUUCAGACAUAUGAUCGGCCUUCAGAUUACCCCGGAGGGCCUUCGAGAACCAUGAUCACCUCAAGCCCCAACACGAGGGUUAACUCGGCAGAUAGCAGGAUUGAGGAUUGUAGAUCAUGUCCGGAUGAGCCCGAGAACUAUCAGAUGAGCCUGAUAACUACCAAAUGAGCUUGGUAACUGGUCUUCAUAUCCCUCGGAAGGGUCGUCACGGAGACUCACUCAUCCUCUCUCUUUCAUCAUAUAUUUCAUAAUUAUGUCUCUUUUUAGGUCAAGGGAUGCGCCUCUCUCGGGAGGACGCGUCCUUCCCUUCCCUUAUCUUCAUGUUCUUCCUCCUGGACAAGAGACCGCACCUCCCGGACCAUGUUUGGGGAGGGCGCGUCCUCUCCUUUACCUGGUAUACAAAAAUGGCUACAACAAGUACUCCCCAGAUUCUCCUAUUAUUGAAAAUGUUAGGGGAAUCUUCACAUCCUCUGUCGCUUUGCUGUUCAUCCAGUUCUUUUGCACUUCUUCCUUUGAUAAGACGCGUCCUUCGUAGUGGGCGCGUCCUUCCUCGUCCAACAUUCCACCUGUUAUUUAAUUUGAAAUUCAAACUGACAGCUGUCCCUUCCUUUCCUAUAAAUACCCCUUCACACAUUCGUCUUCUUCAUUUCACGCAACUGCCAUUCUCUCUCCGGCGAUUUGAGCUUUCCGAGCACGACAUCGUAUUUUCCGGCCACUAUUUGCGAUUUCAACCCAGCCAAUUGCUUCCCCAUCUACCAAGGUACGAUCUCCAUCCAUUUUCGUCAGAUUUCGCUGAGUUAAUUAGUAGAUCUAAGCAUAUGUCCUUUCGACUACCUCCAUGUUCUUCGCGUUCUUCAAAUAUGCAUAUGUAUAUAUAUUUGCAUCUUCUCGUCUUUGAUCCGUUUGAUCCGCUGUAGCUUUAUAUAAAAGUGUUUGUAGAAUGUAAAUUCGCAUCUCUAGGCCCAAGGCGCGUCCUCUCUUUUUGGACGCGCCUCCUGUAAUUUAGGCUAAUGUAUCUUAAACUGAACACUCCCCUGUGUCUCCCUUUAUUGAGAAUCCUUCCAACUAAUAGGAGGACGCGCCCUGCUUACCCAACGCGUCUUCCCUUAUACCCCAAACCUACACCCUUCUUUUUUCCUCCACCUCUUUCUAAUUCAUUUUCUCAAUCUUAUUACCAAGAGGGCGCGCCCUGACUCCUUUCUUAUUUUUUUUCAGCUGGCAGGCGAGGGCGCGUCCCCACCCUUCCAUCCAUUCAGAAACUUCCUAGAAAGACGAGGCAUCUCCCUCUCUCCUCCAGAGGUGUUUUCUCCAACUCCACCACGCCCCUCUUACAUUCUUUCUGAAGACGAGAAGGAGAGAAUUAUCCGUAACCUUGCACGAGAUAUGGAGUCUUCGCAUUCCUCAACCCCCCAUAUGACUACUCCACCCCCUCCGGCUGACGAGGCCACCAGCACUCCUCCCUUGACUAACCGCCCUGUAGAUUAUGAUUCCGAGUUCGAAAAUUGGCUGGAGGAACCACAAGGCGCAUCCAUCCCUACCCGUAAAGGGAAGGGAAAAUAUUACCAAAUCAUUUCAUCCUCGGAACAUGACACCUCCCCCUCUUCACCUAGUGACAAGGAUGAUCCAAACUACGAGCUCUCUGACAAGGGGGGCGAGGGCGCGUCCUCCCACCAAGCUAGCGAGGAUAAUGAUAACCAAGAGAGCUCUCAGGGCGCGUCCUCAAGCAAGGUGCCCAGGGUUCACCCAUCUCCUCCACCCUCUCCUGAGCCAUACUCACAUCCAAAGGUGGAAGAAUGGGAAGAAGAUGUGGAUUGGACUGAGUACGAGGAUAUGGAGCUCUCUUUCAAAAUGGUCGAAGAAAUAAAGAAGAAUAAGGGGAAGUUAAGCUGUGUAGACUAACCCUCUUCACUUUCCUGGGAGGAGUUGGAAUGGACAAUGGCCUAUUACGAGCAAAAGGGGACUGCUGUGGUACCCCUCGAGGAAAUGAGGGCUCAUCGAUUUGACAUAGGAAAUUACAGAAUUCCUCGCCUCGUCCUGACCCCUCGACAUGUGAGCUUAGGAGUGGGCGCGCCUUUACAUGAGUAUUUCGAGGCUAUUUGUGAAUGGUUUGAUAUCGCACCCAUCCAGCUGUCACCAAACUCCUAUAAGUUGGCAGCAGGCCUGUACAUCCUAUAUAGAGACGAGGGGUAUGGCGCGCCCUCUAUGGAAGAGUUGAGUUAUUUCUUCCGGCUCACAAGAAGUUCUUUGGGCUACUUCUUCCUUGUUGUCAGGAAGCAACACAACAACAAAGGAUUUAGUGAAGGGCGCGCCUCCCACAUCAAGAAAUGGAAAGAACCUUUCUUUUACGUCUAUGACGUUAAGAGGGUUAGGACGCAGUUCAACAUUUCUCCAGGUUAGCACAUCUUUUCUUAGGACGCGUCCUUUCAUUUGUUGAGACCCUUUUUGUUGACUUGUCCUUUACCUUCUUUAGUUGAACGAGGGAUGCCCUCUCUAGAGGAUGAGGCUCUGGAAAGAGCGCAACACAUUCUGAAUCUUCCUCACGAGAGGAAGAACAUGACACUUCUCGUCACCACCCCAAAUCUUGUUAGGGCUGGUUUCCUUCCCCCCAACAUAGGCACCAAGGUGGGGUUCAAAGUGUUUAGGGACGGUAAACCCCUCACAGAUAGAAAGCAUAGGUUUUCUAGGAAAGAAUCCAGGGAGCCAAGUCCCGAAAAUUUAUCCGACCAAGGUAUGACUGGGCGCGCCCUCCCUAUAUUUUGAGGGCGCGUCUUACACUUUUCAUAUAUUUGCAUGACCUCACUUGUUUACUUCUGAAGCACAUCUUAUAUCCAUAUCUUUGGUUUAUCAAUUUAUGUAUGUGACUGACGUGUCUUUAUCAUUGCUUGGCAGAUAUGACAAACGUUCCUGCUUUCUUCAACCGGACAAAGCUCAACACUGGGGAGGGCGCGUCUGCACAACCCUCAGGAUCAAAACGGGGCGCGCCUGCCCUCGACACCCAGAAGCUGGGCGACAAGGCCAAUCCCACGCUAGAGGACUCUAGGGUCCCGAAAAAACAGAGGGUGUUAAAGAAGCAGUCCUCCUCUGGCCUCUCAACCAGGGCUCUGGGCGAGAUAGGCGCGUCCAACGCCUCGGACGAUGAAUUAAGGGCAUGGCGCGCCAAGUCUGAGGCUGACAAGGAUGCAUGGAUCCUUAAGGCCAGCUGUGAGAUGUUGGUCCACAAUAUGGACCGAGAAAAUGCUAAAGUGGCUCAAGAGACGCGCCUUUCGAACCUGGAGAAGGAGGUUUCUCAGCUUAAGAAGGAUGCGAAGAGGCAGGAGAAGGCGCUGCAGGCAGCUGAGAGCGCCAAAAAAGCAGCCGAGGAGAGCUUAACUUCUGAGAGGGCGCACCUUGAGAAGGAAAUUGCUGAUUUAAAGAAGGCAAACUCCCGAGGAUAUGGAGCUCUCUUUCAAAAUGGUCGAAGAAAUAAAGAAGAAUAAGGGGAAGUUAAGCUGUGUAGACUAACCCUCUUCACUUUCCUGGGAGGAGUUGGAAUGGACAAUGGCCUAUUACGAGCAAAAGGGGACUGCUGUGGUACCCCUCGAGGAAAUGAGGGCUCAUCGAUUUGACAUAGGAAAUUACAGAAUUCCUCGCCUCGUCCUGACCCCUCGACAUGUGAGCUUAGGAGUGGGCGCGCCUUUACAUGAGUAUUUCGAGGCUAUUUGUGAAUGGUUUGAUAUCGCACCCAUCCAGCUGUCACCAAACUCCUAUAAGUUGGCAGCAGGCCUGUACAUCCUAUAUAGAGACGAGGGGUAUGGCGCGCCCUCUAUGGAAGAGUUGAGUUAUUUCUUCCGGCUCACAAGAAGUUCUUUGGGCUACUUCUUCCUUGUUGUCAGGAAGCAACACAACAACAAAGGAUUUAGUGAAGGGCGCGCCUCCCACAUCAAGAAAUGGAAAGAACCUUUCUUUUACGUCUAUGACGUUAAGAGGGUUAGGACGCAGUUCAACAUUUCUCCAGGUUAGCACAUCUUUUCUUAGGACGCGUCCUUUCAUUUGUUGAGACCCUUUUUGUUGACUUGUCCUUUACCUUCUUUAGUUGAACGAGGGAUGCCCUCUCUAGAGGAUGAGGCUCUGGAAAGAGCGCAACACAUUCUGAAUCUUCCUCACGAGAGGAAGAACAUGACACUUCUCGUCACCACCCCAAAUCUUGUUAGGGCUGGUUUCCUUCCCCCCAACAUAGGCACCAAGGUGGGGUUCAAAGUGUUUAGGGACGGUAAACCCCUCACAGAUAGGAAGCAUAGGUUUUCUAGGAAAGAGUCCAGGGAGCCAAGUCCCGAAAAUUUAUCCGACCAAGGUAUGACUGGGCGCGCCCUCCCUAUAUUUUGAGGGCGCGUCUUACACUUUUCAUAUAUUUGCAUGACCUCACUUGUUUACUUCUGAAGCACAUCUUAUAUCCAUAUCUUUGGUUUAUCAAUUUAUGUAUGUGACUGACGUGUCUUUAUCAUUGCUUGGCAGAUAUGACAAACGUUCCUGCUUUCUUCAACCGGACAAAGCUCAACACUGGGGAGGGCGCGUCUGCACAACCCUCAGGAUCAAAACGGGGCGCGCCUGCCCUCGACACCCAGAAGCUGGGCGACAAGGCCAAUCCCACGCUAGAGGACUCUAGGGUCCCGAAAAAACAGAGGGUGUUAAAGAAGCAGUCCUCCUCUGGCCUCUCAACCAGGGCUCUGGGCGAGAUAGGCGCGUCCAACGCCUCGGACGAUGAAUUAAGGGCAUGGCGCGCCAAGUCUGAGGCUGACAAGGAUGCAUGGAUCCUUAAGGCCAGCUGUGAGAUGUUGGUCCACAAUAUGGACCGAGAAAAUGCUAAAGUGGCUCAAGAGACGCGCCUUUCGAACCUGGAGAAGGAGGUUUCUCAGCUUAAGAAGGAUGCGAAGAGGCAGGAGAAGGCGCUGCAGGCAGCUGAGAGCGCCAAAAAAGCAGCCGAGGAGAGCUUAACUUCUGAGAGGGCGCACCUUGAGAAGGAAAUUGCUGAUUUAAAGAAGGCAAACUCCACCCUCGAGUCUUCCAACCGGAGUCUGGUGGAGGAGAAAGAUAAGGUUGAGGGCGCGUCCUUCUUUGAGGGUGUUUGCAGCUAUAUUGCUACGUUCCUCUCUGGGGAGCCUAACUAUGAUUGGCUUCCUAAAUUUGGGAAGACCGCAGCCGAUUUCAUGGCUAAGUUCCCUGAGGAGCACCCUGAACUGAUGGUGGCCAAACGAGCUGAGCUGGAGGCCACCUUAGCCAAGGAGGCGGCUGAAGGGACGGCGCGCCAAGAAGGCAACUUUCAAGGGGAGGACGCGUCUGCCUAGUAAAUCACAUUUUAAUCAUAUUGUUGUGUUAAACAUUGAAUGGUUUGAAUAUUUUUGAGGAGUGGGUCCUCUGUAAAACCCUGCAACUUGUAGUAUAUUUGUCUUGCGUACAGGGCGCGCCCUGUGCGCCUUUAAUUUAUAGCACUCGCAUCUUUCUGUUGCUUUAAUAACUAUUGUCACCAAGUCGUUUCUUGUUUUGCAUAUUCAUCUUAUAUUUAUGACGUGCAAUAGUUUGUCGUUGUUAUAUUUCGGAGAGCGCGCCCUGCCAUACCAACUCAAAGAUUUGCUAGCAACUGUCCCACCGAGGGCGCGCCCUCUAAUAAGGAGUCUCAAUUCACUCCUUAUGCGCAACAUACAUUAUACAAAGAUUGAUGUAGUAUAGUGGGGGGUCCUUCUCAUUCAAAGAAGAUGAGUUGGAUACUUAUCUUUGGUGGACGCGUCCCCUUGUAGUGGACAUCCUUUGACCUGAACUUGGGGAGGAUUACUCCACUCCCCGAGUUAUUCUUUCCGAUGGGGGUGGUGUCUGAGUCGUUCCUAUCAACUCGUGUCGUUGGUGAGGUAUCAGUAUUUUUAACUAUGGAGGGGGGCGCGUCCUUUCUCGUUAACCGAGGGCGCGCCUCCUAGUUUUUCACCCUUGAUGUUUUUCACUGUAUUCGUGAGUUAAAUGUCCUUAAUAAGUUGCCACGCUUUUUUGCCUCGUUUAUCUGAGGGGAGGGCGCGCCCAAGGUGCGGCUGCCAUCCCUUGCCCAAGUGUCAACAAACACUUUGCUUAUAUUCGUCUAUAGACACAUACUGCACGCAUUGCACACAUUUCUUUGUGGGAAAGGAGUGGCUCUUGGCCUUUAUUAAGGAAAACUGAAUUAUAUCACGGCCUCUGGCCCAUAGUAAAUCUGAUAACUAAUGCGCUCAAGUACGAAACCGCACCCGUCCCAAGGAGCUGUUAACUCCAAGGGGAUAUAAACAGACUGGCAAGAGCCUUAGUCUAAAGAAGAGCAUAUGUACACUACUCCCCUAGACUAGGUAUGAUGAUUAUUCAUUGCUAGUCUACGUAGCCUGUGGCUACUGAUAGUACUUCUUUAGAUGUUCCGCGUUCCAAGGUCUUGGAACGGGUUUUCCAUCUAAGUCUUUUAAUCUAUAUGUACCCUUCCAUAAUAUGACCUUGACUUUGUAGGGUCCUUCCCAGUUGGCUCCGAAAACUCCAUGUUAGGGAUUUUUAUUAUUGAGCACAACCUUCCUGAGGACUAGGUCGCCAACUUGGAAGGGAUGAGCCUUCACCUUGCUGUUAUAAUAUCUGGCCGUCCUCCGUUGGUAAGCGGCUAAGCGCAGCUGGGAUGUGGCUCUGAUUUCUUCAAUCAUGUCCAAGUAUAGCCUUUGACCCACAUCGUUGUCAAGUUGGUCGAAGUAAUCUCUCCUGAAGGAUCCUGCUCCUAUCUCGAUUGGGACCAUGGCCUCGCACCCAUAAGAUAGGACGAAGGGCGACUCCCCAGUCGUUGUCCUGGGAGUGGUGUUGUAGGACCAUAGGACCAUCGGGAGUUCUUCCGGCCAAUUCCCCUUGCUAUCUUCCAACUUUGUCUUCAAAGUAUGCUUGAUGAUUUUGUUGACCGCCUCCGUCUGGCCGUUGCUUUGGGGAUGGUACACUGCCGCAAAGUCUUUCUUGAUUCCUAGAUUUUCACAUAAGCCUCUUAGUUCCUUGCUGUCGAACUGCUUCCCAUUAUCCGAGAUUAGCUUGUAAGGGACUCCGAACCUGCAAACAAUAGAGUUAAAAACAAAAUCUGUUAUUUUCUUGGCUGUGAUGGUGGCUAAGGGUGCGGCUUCUGCCCACUUAGUGAAGUAGUCGACCGCAACUACUGCAUACUUCACUCCUCCCUUGGCUUUCGGGAGUUCCCCGAUCAAGUCUAUCCCCCACAUAGCGAAGGGCCAAGGACUAGUCAUGCUGGUGAGAGAGGUGGCUGGGCUAUUGGUGAAGUUGGCGAAUCGUUGGCACUUGUCGCAUGCUUUGGCGAAAUUGAAAGCAUCGCUCCUCAAGGUUGGCCAGUAGAACCCUUGUCUCAAGAUUUUCAUGGCGAGGGAGUUGCCUCCCGAAUGAUUUCCACAUAUUCCUUCAUGGAUUUCCCUCAUCACGUAGGUGCAUUCCUCUCCAUCGAUGCAUUUGAGCAAUGGUUGGUUGAAGCCUCUCUUGUAUAGCUUCCCAUCAUACUCUACGUACCUGGCGGCCUUGUACUUCAAUUUUCGGGCCUCGGCUUUGUCCUCGGGCAGCCUACCCUCCUUGAUGAAAUUCCAAAUUGGAGUCAUCCAUGUGGGGCUCUCAUCUUUAUCUUUGAUUUCGGUUACCUCAAGUUCGGGGAUGCUAGGUAUCUCCUGUAUUUCUAAGCGGAUGACUCCCAACAAGGCUGCGUCCUUCUGGGAUGCUAGUUUUGCGAGGGCGUCCGCAUCUCCAUUAAAUUCUCGGGGUACCCUGUUCACUUGGACUUCUCCGAAUUGAUCCAAUAACUUUUGGACGCAUCUAAGGUACAUGGCUGUUUUGGGUCCUUUUGCCUGGUAUCCCCCUUUGAUGUGUUCAACAACUAACAUGGAGUCGACCUUUAUAACAAGCUUUCUCACUUUCAUUUCAAGGGCAAGCCUGAGCCCUCCGAUCAGGGCUUCAUAUUCUGCAUCGUUGUUUGAGAGCUGGAAGGUAAAGUGAGUUGCGUUCAAGAGUCUAUGUCCUUCCGGACUUACGAGCACUAUCCCAGCUCCCGCUCCUUCAUUAUUUACUGCUCCAUCUGUAUGCAAUAUCCACCAGAGUUCGGGUAUGCUUUCCUUGGGGCAUGCCUGCUGCGGUGGUAGGUCGGGAUCAUAUUUGAUCAGGAGACCAGACUCCUCUCCAUCUUCAGGGAAUUCCAAGAUAAAAUCUGCUAGGGCCUGUCCUUUGAUGGCGGUUCUUGGUUUGUAAUCUAGGUCAAACUGCCCCAACUCGACUGCCCACUUCAUCAUCCUACCGGUUACUUCUGGUUUAUGCAUGAUUUGUCAGAGGGGGUACGCCGUCCUGACCUCCACUUUAUGAGCCUGGAAGUAUGGUCGCAAUUUCCUAGUUGCAUGUACCAGGGCAUAUACCAGCUUCUCCAUACUUGUGUAGCGAGUCUCUGCGUCUAGCAACCUCUUGCUCACGUAGUAGAUUGGGGACUGCCCCUCCUCAUCUUCUUUCACCAAUACAGCGCUUAUGGAGUAGUCUGAAACGGCUAACUAAAGGACAAGCGUCUCUCCUUCCUGAGGUUUGGCUAAGAGGGGUGGCUCGCCCAAAUGUUUCUUAAUUUUUAUGAAGGCGUCCUCGCACUCCUCCGUCCACUCGAAAUCUUUGGAUGCACCUUUGAUGGCCUUGAAAAACUCCUUGCAUUUCUCCGAGGAUUUUGACACGAACCUAUUUAAGGCGGCUAUCCUUCCUGUCAGACUUUGCACUUGCUUAACGUUGGCUGGGGACUUCAUGUCCAGUAAUGCUUUGAUCUUUGCUGGGUUGGCCUCUAUGCCCCUGUGGUUAACCAUAAAACCAAGGAACUUUCCCGACUCCACUCCGAACACACAUUUCUGCGGGUUGAGUUUCAUUCUAAAUUUCCUUAGGAUUUCGAACAUCUCAGACAGGUGGGCAACGUGGUCAUCGUCCUUUUUGGAUUUAACCAGCAUGUCGUCUACAUACACUUCCAUUGUCUUCCCAAUCUGAUCUUUAAACAUCAUGUUCACCAACCUUUGAUAAGUCGCCCCUGCGUUGAUGAGCCCAAAGGGCAUGCCGAUGUAGCAAUAUAGACCCCUGUCGGUGAUGAAGGAGGUGUGCUCCUGGUCGAGUUCAUACAUGGGAAUCUGAUUGUACCCCGAGUAGGCAUCCAUAAAGCUGAGGAGGGCGUGUCCUGCCGUCGAAUCUACCAGCUGAUCAAUACGAGGGAGUGGGAAGCUAUCCUUUGGACACGCCUUGUUGAGAUCCGUGAAGUCUAUGCAUGUGCGCCACUUCCCAUUGGGUUUCUUGACAAGUACGGGGUUUGCUAGCCAUUUCGGGUAGAACGACUCCUUCACUAAUCCUGCUUUCAAGAGGCGAUCGACUUCCUCCUGCAGGGCCUCGGCUCUUUCUCCGCUGAUGGGUCUUCUCUUUUGUCUAGCACCUUUUUUAGAGGGGUCGACAUUCAGGUGAUGGCACAUAACUGCCGGGUCUAUCCCCACCAUAUCCUCGUGGCUCCAAGCAAAUACGUCGAGGCUAUUUGUAAGGAAUUCUAUCAGCUUGCUCCUUACCUCUGGACCUAGUUUGGAUCCUAUCUUCAGGAUCUUGCCAUCACUCCCCGGUGUAACUUGCACGUCGAUCGUAUCUUCAGCUGGCCCCGUGUUCUGCACUUGCAUGGGUAAUCUUGGGUCUAAGUCGAAGUCGAACUGGUGCAAGGUUUCCUUUGGUUCUGAGGGCACGUCCUUAAAGACCUCUUUGGGAGGAGAGGGCUCCUCUAACUCCAUGACGAUCUCCCGUUGAUCCAUCCUCCUGACUUUCUUUGGAGGUGCCUCUUCCAUUUCGAUAACCAAUUCUUCACAUUCUUCGGACGUUGAUUCAUCGACAAGAGUGGGCUCGCCCUUGUGAGGGACGCGUCCUCCGAGUGGUGGGGGGCUGGGCGCGUCUUCACUGUCGCUUUCUGGAUACUGAACGAGGUAGAGAGCAUGGACCGAAUGAAGUUCUUCAUGGAGUGGCACUCCCCUUCUGUCUCGAAAAUUCUUGAGUGACCGGCCAUAGCAAUCGCGAGAUUCAUAUUGGGAUCCCUUCACACAACCAACUCCUCCAGGAGUGGGGAACUUCAAAGUAAGAUGAUAAAUGGAGGUGAUUAUCCUCAUGUCCUUCAAGAGGGGGCGUCCCAUAAGUGCAUUAUGCGCUGAGGGAUGGUCGAUGACCACAAACUCGGCAAUUUGAGUGGCCGCUCGUGGAGCCUCUCCUAAGGUGACUGGCAAGCGUAUGGUUCCUUUGGCUUUAAUGGCCUCCCCUCCGAAGCCAUAUAUGUAGAGAUUCUCUACGGUCAUGUCUUUAUCUGGUAAUCCCAUCUUCUUGUAGGUGUCGAAGUAGAGAAUGUUGACCGAACUACCAUUGUCGACAAAUACUCGAUGAACAUUUAAGGCAGCGAUGCGGAUGGCGAUCACCAAAGCAUCAUUAUGAGGAUGGUGUACCCACCUCGCAUCGUCCUCCGUAAAGGUGAUGUCCAUGGUUUCUCCCUUAAAUACUCGUGGGGCUCUGGCCGACAGAUGGUUCACGUUGGUAAGAGGGUAGUCCUUCGCUUCCUUAGCAUAUUUCUCCAUUGCCUUUCGACUGCCUCCCCCUAUGUAAGGUCCCCCGAAUAUGCUCCUGAUGCUGCCUUCUCUUACAAAUUGAGUAUCGUUCUGCUUUUCAUCAGCCCUGUCAUUCUGUAAAGCACCGAGGCCGCGUCUUUCCGGAGGAUGGUCUGUCCUGUACUUUUUUACCCAUUCCGUUAGGUAUCCUUCUUUGAGUAGAUAUUCGAUUUCCUCUUUCAGAUGCCGACACUCGGAGGUGCUAUGUCCUGCUGACUCGUGGAAGUCGCAAUACUUCUUUUUGUCUUUGGCUAUGUGUUGCGGAAUAGGUUGAGGUUUCUGGAACGGCACCUUAUCCUUGGUCAUCGCAUAGACAUGUUCAGCUGAGGCUGUUAACGGGGUAUAUACUCCUGACUGUCUUGGAGGAGGACUCCAAGUUCUUUUGCUCGAAGUCAUAUUUACCCUACCCGGAGAGCGGGCGCGUCCUCUUGGUUCUGGACUGGGAGUGCGAUCUUUUCUUUUGUAUUUAGAUUUGGCGAUCUCCUUUUGAUUCUCGGCCAACGACUGCUCUACCUUUUUGAAGGAUUCGGCUACGGAAUAUAGCUCGGACAGAGAGGCCGGGUCCUUCCCUUGGAGGUGCUUCCAGAAGUCGGUACCAACCUUGAGUCCAGCGAUAAGGAAGUUCUUCAGGGUUUCGUCUGAGGCUCCUUUCACUCCCAUGGAUUCCUGGUUAAACCUCUUGAAAUAUGCGGUCAAAGUUUAACUGUCGCGCUGCUUGACAUUGGCAAGCGUAGUAACGGGUGGAGCGUAUUUGGUUUCGGCUUGGAAUUAAGUCAUGACCAUCUGCUGCAUACCUUCCCAAGAGGAGAUGACUCCUCCUCACAACUUUUGAAACCAUUGUUGAGCACUGUCCCUCAGGGUUGCUGCUAGGAACCUACACCUGACUAGGUCGGGAAUCUGAUAUAGGUCCAUUUCAAUGUUGAACCUGAUCAGGAAUUUGCGGGGGUCGGCAUUCCCGUGAUAGCGGAGAUCUGCAUGCAGGUUUCUGAAACCGGUUGGUAGUUGGGCCUCGCGGAUCAUAGCUAAACUGUUUGGGGUGAUACCUAGCCUUUCAGCCAGGGGUCGGGCGUCUGCGUUUUGGUUGACCGUCUCUUGUCCUGUCCUUCCCGUUUGCGCGGGAGGCGUGGUCACGUCCAGGGGCGCGCCGUUUGUGUCGUAAACUCCCUGGCUUAUUAUGGCUCCUGGUGGGAGGUUAGCGUCGGGGGGCGCAUCUCCGUAUUCCAACAUUCGGGGGGUUGGUCGUCUGAAACGUCUACGUCCUCUCCUGCCCUGGCUUUUGGAAUGGCGCGAGCGUCUAGGGACGAGUUCUUCGAGUACAGACUCCAUGGUGUCUAACCUUGCAUCAUACCUCGCUUGACUUUGUUCCAUCCGGUGGAGGGCACUAAGGAGCUCCGUGUUACUGACUACAACCGGGGGUGGGUUGUUUGGCAAGGUGCGGGGGUCCUGUAUGUGCUCGGGUGAGUACGGUUCUAUCGGUUCGUCUUCAACAUAAUAGUCUCCUUCAUAUGGGUCAUCAUCGUGGUUGGCCAUCUCUUCCUCUUCGAGAUUUCACCUAGGCCCCUCCUUCUAGCGCCAAUUUGUUGAUAGAGGAAUUUGGUGAAUCAACAAACGUGAGGUUCGUUGCCGGAAUAAGGUGUUUCACGGUGAUUAUAUGACGGAAAUCCGCCGUGGGCGGUAGAUUUAGGUGUUUGAGGGUGGCUGAGAUCAAGGGAAUAUAUUUCUGCUCUCGUUCUCACAACUCUCGAUAUAUCCCCCUGAUGUGCCUACGUACCCCUUUAUAUAGGGGAUCAAGCCAUACGUAGUUCUAUGGAACCAGGAGUCCUAGUUUGAUCAGGACUAGGCCUCUUGGCGAUAAGGUCGGAGAUAGGCCGAAGGCCCAUCCUGGAGAGUCCUACUCCUGUUAGAAUUAGUCUUGAGUAUGACCACCUCAGACUCCUAAUCCAAAUAGAUCACGGAUUCAACGAUAUCUCCACUACGAGAGAUAGCAUCUACCACGACUCUUAUGGAGAAGUUAUCUGGGCAAGCCAUGACCAACCCCUCAAGGUGCAGGGACAUGUCCUCACCUCCCGGUGAGGUCUUUAUCUUCAGACAAGGUGGACAAGGAGCCAAAUUACACGAUCGUCUCAAUCCCCCGAUGAGGGCUAACUCACCAGAAUACAGGAUUCAGACAUAUGAUCGGCCUUCAGAUUACCCCGGAGGGCCUUCGAGAACAAUGAUCACCUCAAGCCCCCACACGAGAGUUAACUCGGCAGAUAGCAGGAUUGAGGAUUGUAGAUCAUGCCCGGAUGAGCCCGAGAACUAUCAGAUGAGCCUGAUAACUACCAAAUGAGCUUGGUAACUGGUCUUCAUAUCCCUCGGAAGGGUCGUCACGGAAACUCACUCAUCCUCUCUCUUUCAUCAUAUAUUUCAUAAUUAUGUCUCUUUUUAGGUCAAGGGAUGCGCCUCUCUCGGGAGGACGCGUCCUUCCCUUCCCUUAUCUUCAUGUUCUUCCUCCUGGACAAGAGACCGCACCUCCCGGACCAUGUUUGGGGAGGGCGCGUCCCCCUCCUUCCCAUUUUAAUUGUCCACUUUGCUCAAAUCACACAUAUUAAGAAAAAUUAAAUAUGAUAUGUUGUUAUCAUUGUUAUGCAUUAAUUAUACAAAAACACUACUAAAUUUUCAUUCAUUUUGUUAAAAGUCAACAUAGUUUGCAUUGUAAAUCAUGAAAAUUGUACAUGCUAAUAAAUGUUAACAUUGAAACUUGUAUAAAAUUGUAUUGGACAAAGAAAUAGGACAAAUAAUAUGAGAAAUUUUUUCUUUGCAAAGUGGACUAUUAAAAUGGGAAGGAAGGAGUACUUUCUAAACUCUAAGCAAGAGGUAUAUUCUUUUUGUUUGGCUUUGAUUCUAAUAAUGUUAGGGAAAACAAUACUACGCCCUCGUUUGAUAACCCCUUAACCAAACUAUUUUAACUGGACGAGUAAAACUUUAUGAUUAAGAUUAUUUGUUUACUGCAUCCCGUGGCUGGACGAAACCAAAAACCUUCUGGACGACUGGAUCUUAAAAAUGUAGCUUAACCGUUGAGAAUACAGACCAAGUGAAAUUCCUCUGUUUAGCUUACAGAAAGUUGUUUUUCUUUUUAUUUUUAAAAAUGGAAAGUUGUUUUUCUUAUGCAUUAAAAAAAUUGUCAUAUUAUACAAUUUGAUAUUAUGUUUAUAUCAAAAUUUUAAAAUAAUAAUAUAAUAAUAAUUAUCUAUAAUAAUUCUACAAUUAGAUGUAGAGCAUUAUAUUAAUUUUAUAUUUUUAUUAUGAUUAUUAAUAUUUUCAUUAAGUUUUAUUUAACGGUCCAAUGUCACUAUAAUAAAUUGAAUAUAUAUUUUUUGAAUGCAUAAGUUGUAAAAUCAUAUGAUUAUUCAAUAAUGAAAAGAAAGUUUAUAUAUAUUUUAUAUGUAUUAUUUUAUAAUUUUAAAAUGAGAUUUAUUUUCAGAAAAGUAGAAGUCUAAAACAAGAUUUAAUGACAAUUUCAUUUUCGUUCAAAAAUUCAUGUCAUUCAAAUUUGUUGUCGUCUAGAGAAUAUCAUCCAGAUUUAUCAAAUCAACUAUGUGUCUACAUAUGUAAAACCAGGUCAAAUUUGAUUUUGCAAGAACCGAAGACUUUUUGGUCUGCAGUGUAGUAGCACACGUCUCUUUACCAAGUUCCACACAUUGUCGACCAAAUUUUCUCCCCAAAAAUCAGUGAGGGGGUGACUUGCAUUUCUUCGCCCUCUAUUGACCGGAACCUUGUUGACAAACUUGCAUAUCAACUUAGUCCGCCCCAUAUUCCUGUUUCGUUUUGCAAUAUAUCAAAACUUAAAAAGUGAAAUAGUUUAGUAUUCCCUCCGUCUUAAUUUAUAAAUCUCUUUUGCUUUUUCAGAGUCAAACUGACAAAUUUUUGAUCAAUUAUUAAAAAAUAUUUAUUUGUUGUUUUACAAAAUGAAAAGUUACAUAUUAAAAUUGAUUUGAUUUAUCUUUUGAUGAUAUUUUUUUAAAUUCUUUUUUCAAUUAUAUAAUAUCUAUUAAUUUCAGUCAAAAGUAUAGUCAAUUAAUCAAAAGUCAAAAUGGACUUAUAUAUUGAGACGAAAGAAGUAUUCACUAAAUCAUUCCGUUAAGAUGAACGACAAUUAGACUUGUGUUAUUAAAUAAAGAGUUAAUUACACUUUAUAAUCUCUAGGUUUGCUCCAAACGCAUUUUAGUACCUGAACUUUAAAACGUGACAAUAUGCACCCUACACUUAAUAUUCAUGUGCAAGUUGUAACCCCUAGUCAUUAUUCCAUCCAAAUCUGUCGUCAACUUUAACGGUUUAAGAGAUAAGAAUGUGUAUAUUAGUUUGUAACAGCUACUUUACCCCCUGUGACUCCUCAAAAAUUAUGUAUUAUAUUUUGAAAUUAAUUCUGAACACACACAAUGAUGUAAAAAAAUUUAAAAUAAUUUUUAAAAUUUGUAUCUGGAUUUAGAUCUGAAUUUUUUUUCAAUAAACAAUGUAACUUAUUUUAAAAUUUUAAAAUAAAUACAUAUUUUAAAAUAAGUUACAUCGUUUAUGUAAAAAAAAUAAUUUUUUUAAAAAUUUAAAAUAAUUUUUAAAAUAUGUAUCUUGAUUUAGAAUCUGAAUUUUUUUUAAAAUUUUAAAAUAAAUACAUAUUUUAAAAUAAGUUGCAUCGUUUAUGUAAAAAAAAAUCAAAUUCUAAAUCUAGAUACAUAUUUUAAAAUUUAUCUUAAAUUUUUUUAUAUCGUUGUGUGUGUUUAAAAUAAUUUCAAAAUAUAAUACAUAAUUUUUGAGGGGUCACAAGGGGAUAAAGUAGCCGUUAGAAAUUAAUAUACACACUGUUAGCUCUCAAACAGUUAAGAUUAACGGCAGAUUUGGACGGAAUAGUGAACGGGAAUGUUAAGUUUAGGAUACAUAUUGCCACGUUUUAAAGUUCAGGUACUAAACUGCGUUUGUAGCAAACUUAGGGGUGACAAAGUGUAAUUAACUCUUAAAUAAAUAAAACAUUAGCCUGAACAGGUCCUAUGCGAUUGAUAAUGGAGUCAUCAAGCUCUGUUAUAUGAUAGAUUUAAAACAGGAAUCGAAGUUAAUGCUAAAAUCUAUCAAUGAACUUUGGGAGGGAAAUUGAUAGCAGUGGUUCGGUCUGAGAGGGGAAUCAGUUGCUUCACUCAAAGAGUUUGCUGAUACAGUCAAUUACCACCAGAAUCUAAUGAAAAUCACUUGGAAUAAGAAAUAGAUUUAUUUGCUGUAUAAUUAUAAUGAUGCUAUAAUAACACAUUUCGUUUUUCUUUCGUUUUGGACAAAGAAAUAUUAAAAGCUGCAAUCAUAAUUUAUAUUUUUGAAUAGAAUAAAAACGAGAGAUAAUAUGUUUAUCUAGGAGCUAUAGCUGUCACACUGCAGUAGUUGGAUGAACACGAUGAAGAGUCUCCUUCGUGCACAUUCCUCUCGAUGAAAAAUCCAGGUUGCUUAGGUUGAGGCAGGGGAAGUUCACUGGUCAGCAUUAGCACCACCGUUGCCAUGGUUGGCCUAUCUGCCGGAUAUUGUUGCACACAUAAUAACCCUAUUUGAAUAGCUCGAAACACUUCAUAUUGAUG